GCCGCGGUGGCGGCGGAGAGUGGGCUCGGAUUCCGCGACACGGAGAGGCGCGUCAGGAUGGGGUUGGCGCGGGGGGGGCUCCGCGGCUGACGUGGGGACUCGUCGGAGGACUCGGCGUCGGUGGUGUCGCCGCCAUCGGAGGAGUAGUUUUCGUCCGGCUUUGGGUCGCCGCUCGCCAUGGCCGUCGGUCGUGCUCGUGACACUGCUGUUCGCGUGUACGCGCACGCGCGUGUCCUUAGCAGCAGCAGCUCGUCACGGGUACAAGUUGCGGUGGGACUUCGUAUUCGUAAGAUUCAGCUUUUACCGUUCUUUGCCCGUGCAAUGGGAGCAAUGCAAAUACCGAUGCAUGCUAAAAAAAACAGUUUGGUCUAUUGAAAUAAUGAUUUUUAGCGCGUCGGAAAACACUGACUUCAAUGAUUGCCGUAAAAGAUAGCGCGUGAGAGCCCCAUACCUGACCAAACGAGCCGGCCCGACACGGCCCAUGGUAAUCGGGCCUGGCACGGCACGGCCCGUCCAGGCACGUUUAUUAAUCGGGUCGUGUCGUGUCAGCCCGUGGGCUGCGCCUCUAGGCCUGUAAGAUUUGAGAGAGAGAGGUUUUGGAUCAGCACACUUUAUUCAAUCUAAACCAUGAUGUCUAACAGAAAACCCUAAGGAGGUAGUCAGCGGCAGCAAUCGUGCGAGGUGGGUUAGUGCUGGGUUAUCGAUUCCGAGGCAUGCGGACGUGCAUGCGUGCUGGGUCAUCGCCAUGCAUGGGCUUGCUUGAGGGCCAAGUCGGCCGACGCCAUGGGCUGUAGUGAGGUCUAUUCCAAAACCACCCCUCCCCCCCCCCCCCCCCCCCCCCCCCGCCCCCCCCCCGCCGGGGCGACACACAGNNNNNNNNNNNNNNNNNNNNNNNNNNNNNNNNNNNNNNNNNNNNNNNNNNNNNNNNNNNNNNNNNNNNNNNNNNNNNNNNNNNNNNNNNNNNNNNNNNNNUAAGAGUGGAAGAAUCAUUAAUUUUCACUGGUUAAAUCUUUUUAUAAAAAUAAUUUGAAACUAGGUUUUAAAUAAAAAAGAAAAGGGGCAACAGCCCUAGCCUGGCUUGGCCUGCAACUGCGCCGGCCAAGUGGCCAGCCAACCAGCCUGCCCACGCGCGCGCACCGUUAGGUUUGAACCUGCCGUGCGAGCCCCUACGGUUAGCAGCUGUGGGGAGCGAGGGAGAGAGAUAUGGGCCACCGACAGGUGGGGCACACCUGUCAGGGUCGUCUCCUACAUGUGGACAGAGAGGAGGAGGAGCACGCUGGCGUGGCUACCGACAUCCUCAGGCCCUAACAACGCCAGGAAUGGGUUCGGCUCAUCGUCACCUACCUGUUGGUUCACCGGCGACGAGGUGGCCACGACGGAGAGGUUUCGGUCAAUGUUGGAGGUGGUGGCUACGGGCACUGGUUUUCUCGGGGAAGAAGGGGGAAAUGAUCCUGGUGUCACGGGGAGUGUGCAUGUGGGCAGAGGGACGUGAGAACCGUUGUGUAGCCGGAGAUCGACCGGAGCUCCGAGGCGGAGAUGCCUCUGGCGAUAUCGAGCACCGGGGCUCUGCUUGCUCAAUGGGGUGUCUACGGAGCUGAUUGGGGUCUAGGUGGAGGCGAGGGGCUACAAAUAGGCCCGCAACGAUGAGCCAACUCGGGUGCGCCGGUGAUCCCACUGUGGCACGCAUGGGGGUGCAGAGAGAGGCUGGGGUCGAAACCAUGGUCUCAAGCGUUGGUUUUGUACCUCCUGGACUCACCGCGAGAGAGGGGAGAGAGGAGUGGCGUGCAUGCGUGGCCAUGCUCCUCUGACCGCUACUGGUGCGCGCAGGCACACGACGCACCGGCUGUCAGCGCAUGAAAGGACGGCCCUAGGAACUACCUGAUGCACAGGUGCUGUCGGGUGAGAGGAGAGACACCGCGGGGAGCCUGGAACUGGCCAAGGGAGUCGUCCCCACCUCGGUUGCUCUCUGUAGUGCGCCAAGAGCACAGCUUUGGCAUGCCACGGCAUGCUGGCGCGCUCUGGGUGCCUUGGACACGUCUGGCGUGUCCUGGACCCUUGUUGGGAGAUACCUAGCCGUUUGAAUCCCGUGGNNNNNNNNNNNNNNNNNNNNNNNNNNNNNNNNNNNNNNNNNNNNNNNNNNNNNNNNNNNNNNNNNNNNNNNNNNNNNNNNNNNNNNNNNNNNNNNNNNNNCCCAUGGUACAUCGAGAUCAAGACAUCUCAAGAACACGAGAGAGAGAUCAAACACAUAGCUACUGGUACAUACCCUCAACCCCGAGGGAGAACUACUCCCUCCUCGUCAUGGAGAUCGCUGGGAUGAUGAAGAUGGCCACCAGAGAUGGAUUCCCCCUCCGGCAGGGUGCCAGAACGGGCUCCAGAUUGGUUUUUGGUAGCUACAAAGGCUUGCGGUGGCAGAACUCCCGAUCUAGGUUUCUUUUUGGAGGUUUCUGAAUUUAUAGGAAUUUAUGGCGGUGGAAUUACAUCGGUUGGGCCCACGAGGAGGUCACAAGCCUGCCCUGCGCCACCUAGGGGGGCGGUGGCGGCGUCAGGGCUUGUGACUCCCUCGUGGCUCUUCUCGCCUUCUUCCAAAGCUUCGGGGGUCUCUUUUGGUCCAAAAAAAUCAUCGUAAAGUUUCACUCCAUUUGGACCUCGUCCGAAAAUGGGCCAAAAGCACGGAAAAAACAGAAACUGGCACUUGGCACUGAGUUAAUAGGUUAGUCCCAAAAAAGAUAUAAAAUAGCAUAUUCAUGCAUAUAAAACAUCCAAAGUUGACAAGAUAAUAGCAUGGAACCAUUAAAAAUUAUAGAUACGUUGGAGACGUAUCAAGCAUCCCCAAGCUUAACUCCUGCUCGUCCUCGAGUAGUGAAGUGAUAAAGAAAGAAUUUUUGAUGUUGCAUGCUACCUAGCAUAGUUGUCCUUUGUAACUUCUCUCACGUGACAUGAAUGUUCAGAUCCGUUAGAUUCAAAACAAUAGUUUGCUAUUGAUGCGGAGACAAUAAUAAUUUAAGCAAACUAGCAAGGUAAUCAUGAACUUUCAAAAUAACAAGGCCAAAAGAAAGUUAUCCCUACAAAAGCAUAUAGUCUGUAUAUGCUCUAUCAUCAUUGCACAACGAAUUUAAAUCAUGCACAACCCCGGUAUUGGCCAAGUAAUUGUUUCACACCUUUACUUUCUCAAACCUUUUCAACUCUCACGCAAUACAUGAGCGCGAGCCAUGGUUUUAGCACUAUAAGUGGUGUGGAGUGUGGUGGAGGUUGCAAGACAAAACAUGAUAAGAUGAUCACAUUAACUAGGCGUAUCAAUAAGCUGCGGAGAUGCUCAUCAAUAGAUAUCAAUGUGAAUGAGUAGGGAUUGCCAAACAAAUGAUGCACUAGAGCUAAGAGUAUGUGAAAGCCCUUAAAGAAAACUAGUGGGUGUGCAUCCAACUUGCUUGCUCACGAAGACUUAAGGCAAUUUUGAGGAAGCCUAUCACUGGAAUAUACAAGCCAAGUUAUAUAAUGAAAAUUUCCCACUAGCUAUAUGGUGGUGACAAAACAAGAGACUCUUAAUCAUGAAGAUCAUGAUGCUUAAUAUGCACAAGUAUUGAAAAGUGGUAGCAUUGUCCCUUCUCUCUUUUUCUCUCGUUUUUUAUAUAAUUUUUUGGUGGGCUCUUUGGCCUCUUUUUUUUGGUGGGCAUCUUUGGCCUCUUUUAUUUCCUCACAUGGGACAAUGCUCCAUCAAUGAUGAUCAUCACACUUUCAACUCAAAACUUAGAGCAACGAUGACUCUAUAUGGAAUGCCUUCGGUAGUGUACCGUGACAAUGAUCUAGCAUGGCAUAGACAUUAAUGGAAACAUCAUGCUAGCUAUCUUACGAUCAUGCAAUGACAAUGUAGACGUGGUGGCACAUGUCAUGGUGGUAGUUGCAUGACAAUAUAUCUCAGAAUGACUUUGAAAAAGACAUAGUAGGUAGGUAUGGUGGCUGUUUUGAGGGAGGCUAAUGGUGGGUUUUGUGCACCGGCGAAAGUUGCACGGCACUAAGAAGAUAGUGAUGGUGGAAGGUGAAAGUGCAUCUAAACCUUGGACUCAACAUUAGUCAUGAAGAACUCAUAUACUUGUUGCAAAAGUUUUAUUAGUAAUCGAAACAAAGCAUUCAACGCAUACUCCUAGGGGAAGGGUUGGUAGGUAUAAACCAUCGCGCGAUCCCGACCGCCACGCAAAGUAUGACAAUCAAAAGACUAAUCAUGCUCAGACUUCAUCACAUAGCGGUUCACCAUACGUGCAUGCUACGGGAAUCACUAACUUCGACACAAGUAUUUCUAGAUCCACAACACCUUAUUAGCAUGACUUCAAUAUUACCAAAACCACAACUCAAAACUAAUUGAGAUGAAUCAAACUUCUCCUAAGUAUUCAAUGCACAUGAAGGUGGAAGUUUUCGUAUCCCUUUGGAUAACUACCCCUUUUGAGACUACUUUCAAAGCAUAGAUCAACUACCAAGCCACGCACCGCUGCACUCUAAAAGAUAUAAGUGAAGCACAUAGAGCAAAAGUAUCUAGCUCACAAGAUAUAAGUGAAGCACAUGUGAGCUGUGCUCUAAAAGAUAUAGGUGAAGCACACAGAGCAAAAGUAUCUAGCUGAAAAGAUAUAAGUGAAGCACAUGUGAGCUGAAUUGUCUACCAAAGGAUAUAAGUGAAGCUCGACAAAAUCACGAUGAGUGCAUAUCUCUCUCUCUCUAGGUGUGCAGCAAGGAUGAUUGUGACACAACAAAAAUAAAAGACUCCUACAAUACAAGACGUUCCAAGCAAAACACAUAUCAUGUGGUGAAUAAAAAUAUAGCCCCAAGUAACGUUACCGAUGGAUCGAAGACGAAAGUGGGGAUGCCUUCCCGGGGCAUCCCUAAGCUUAGGCUUUUACGGCAUCCUUGAAUCAACUUGGGGUGCCUUGGGCAUCCCCAAGCUUGAGCUCUUGCCACUCUUUAUCUCUUUGUCCAUAAGAACUUCACCCAAAACUUGAAAACUUCACAACACGAAACUUAAACAGAAACUCGUGAUAACAUUAGUACAAGAAAGCAAACCACCACUUCCUUAGGUACUGUAGAAAACUUAAAUUCUACUUAUGCUGAUGUUGGAUUACUGUAUUUUCAAUCUUCCAUGGCUAAUACCCUCCGAUACUAUCCAUAGUUUCAUCAAAAUAAGCAACCAACUCAACAAAAAAGAAUUUGUUAAUAGCAGACCAGUCUGUAGCAAUCUGUAUACUUCGUAUACUUCUGGUACUUCAAAAAUUCUGAAAAAUUACGACAGUCUGAAGAAUUUGCGUAGAAAUCAUAAGCAGAAAGAAUCAACUCAAAAGCUUUUACAGAAAAAAUGAAAUUUCUUUUCAUGGGCAGAAAGUUUCUGUCUUUUCCAGCAUGACCAAACGAUCAUCCCCAAGACUAAUCAUAACGGUUUUGCUUGGCACAAACGCAAAAAGAAACACAAAAGACAGAAUCAUAACAGAAUUAUGAAAGUGUGGAAAACACAAAACAGGAAGCAAAAAGCAAAGAAAAAUUCAUUCAUUGGGUUGCCUCCCAACAAGCGCUAUCGUUUAACGCCCUUAGCUAGGCAUUGAUUUCAAUGAUGCUCACAUAAAAUGUAAGGAUUGAAACACAACGAGAGCAUCAUGGAGCAUAUGGCUAGCACAUUUAAGUCUAACCCACUUCCUAUGCAUAGGGAUUUUGUGAUCAAAGAAUUUAUUGGAGCAAGAAUCAACUAGCAUAGGAAGGCAAAACAAGCAUAGCUUCAAAAAUUUCAACAUAUGGAGAGGAAGCUUGAUAUUAUUGCAAUAAGUAGAAGCAUAUGAUCCUCUCUCAUAGUAAUUUUCAGUAGCAUCAUGAAUGAAUUCAACAAUAUAACCAGCACCUAAAGCAUUCUUUUCAUGAUCUACAAGCAUAUAAAUUGUACUACUCUCCACAUAAGGAAAUCUAUUCUCAAGAAUAGUAGUGGGAGUAUCGUAAAAGACUUGAGCACUACAAAUUGUGUCCACAAUGAAAAAUCAAGGUUGAGCACAGGGGUUCUUGAGAGUAUGACAAGUUUUAUCAUCCCUCUUCUUCAAAGCAUAAGUAUCCUCACAAUAAUCAUCAUAGAUAGGGGGCAUGCUUUCAUCAAAAUGAUUUUGAUCAUUCAAAGUGGAAGAACUAAAAAGAUCAUCUUUAUCAAAUAUAGCAUCCCCAAGCUUGUGGCUUUGCAUAUCAUUAGAAUCAUGGGUAUUCAAAGAGUUCAUGCUAAGGACAUUGCAAUCAUGCUCAUCAUUCACGUAUUCUAUUCCAAGCAUUCUAUGAAAUUCUUCUUUCAACACUUGAGCAAAAUUUUCCUUCCCAUCAUGCUCACGAAAGACAUUGAAAAGAUGGAGCAUAUGAGGCAUCCUCAAUUCCAUUUUUUUGUAGUUCUCUAGCAAAAGAACAAGAAACAAAAAGAUUCGAUUGCAAGAUCUAAAGAUAUACCUUCAAGCGCUAACCUCCCCGGCAACGGUGCCAGAAAAGAGCUUGAUGUCUACUACACAACCUUCUCCUUGUAGACGUUCUUGGGCCUCCNNNNNNNNNNNNNNNNNNNNNNNNNNNNNNNNNNNNNNNNNNNNNNNNNNNNNNNNNNNNNNNNNNNNNNNNNNNNNNNNNNNNNNNNNNNNNNNNNNNNUGUCUGUACCCAGACAGUCUAUAACUCUUCCGCUGGCUUGUAUUUGUAUGACUGCUAUUAUGGGUCGAGAGACCUUAAUGUGUAAUAUUAUGUGUGUGGCUCUUCCGAGCCUCUUGAAUAAAGGUUGUAUGUUUAUGGUUAUGUUGUGAUGCCAUCGAUGCAUCUAUACAUAUCGGUAUGCCAUGCGUACGUGUGUCAUACUUGAUAUGUAUGGGGUUCGAAUACCUAGUCGUGAACUUUAGUAGCACUCCUUACAAGGAAAUGCCCCUUUGUGAUCCAACGAGCCUUGGUAGUCCGCUACUGCUCCGGACACAUUGGUUGACUGGCAUGUGUCCUUCUUAGCUGUUGUGUCUGUCCUCUUUGGGGAAAUGUCACGCGACGUAAUGGAGUCCUUGUAGCUUGCUACAACUCGUCUACGUUCGCUGAUGACCGACACCUGCUUUGUUGGGUCAUGUAUGCCUGUCCUUGUGCGGAACUGCCACUUUGAUUUAUGACUAGACAUGUCGAUCCGGGUUCUUUGACAUUGGAUUGCUAGCGACACCUAUUGCAGCCGUGGAGUUAACCGUGCGUGAGACCACAAAGAGAUGCGAUGUGUUACAGGCUGGAUUCCUAUGGCUUAGGAUCGGGGUCCCGACAAAAGUCCCCUCCGGCAGGGUGCCGGGAAGGGUCUCCAGAUGAGAUCUCGCGGAAACGGAAGCUUGCAACGGCGGAAAAGUAUUUUCGAGGCUCCCAUGAUUUUUUGCGGAAUAUUUGGGAAUUUAUAGGCCAAAGACCUAGGUCAGGGGGCGGCCAGGGAGGCCACAAGCGUGCCCACCGCCGCCUCCCCCUGGUGGCGGAGUGGGGACUUGUGGGCUCCCUGGAGCCCACAUGGCUUGGCCCAAAAAAACCCUGGUCUUCUUCCGUUCGGGAAAAAAUCAUUUCGGGGUUUUUCUUCCGUUUGGACUCCGUUCCAAAAUCAGAUCUGAAAAGAGUCAAAAACACCGAAAAAACAGGAACUGGCACUUGGCACUGAAUUAAUAAGUUAGUCCUAAAAAAGAUAUAAAAGGUACAUAAAACAACCAAAGAAGACAAGAUAACAACGUGAAACCAUCAAAAAUUAUAGAUACGUUUGAGACGUCUCAUAUACUCAGACACAGUGUUGUUUCCUUGCCUAGCAGAGUUAAAUUUUUCUGUCAAAUCAUGAGAACCCUGUUCAGAAAAUCUCUUGUUCAGUUCAGCACAAAAUUGUUUCCAAGUCAACUAUUUCUUGAGGAUGCCAGAUCUUCUUAACCAUGUAUUAGCUUCACCAAUGAUAUAUAGCUGAGAUAGAGAUACUUUGUAUUCUUCUGGAGCUGCUGACAUUUGAAAAUACUUGUUACAUUGCCUGAUCCAUCCAACUGGAUCUGUUCCCUCAACCUAGGGAAAUGUAAUUUUGGACCCUUUGUCAAAGACUUCAUGAACUGAGCUUGCAUGUCUUGUUCAUAUGUCAUGUAAUAUCCCUGCCACAUCUGUCUGUCUCUGUUGGUUUGAUAAAACUUGUUGAAAAGAGGAGUCUGACCACCAUCUCUUGUUGUCAAAGGUGUUCCUAUAGCACUCACAUUCUCUGUUCUCUGUUGAUUGUCAUAACCAGGAGGGACAGUUUGUCUCUGCACCUUAAGAGGUGGCAGAUGAUGUGUUUGGAUAUCUUCCAUUUGUUUGGUUUUUUCCUUUUCAAGUUCCAAUUGUUUUCUCAAAAAUUCAUUUCUCAGAUGUUGUUCUUGCACAGCUUCCUGAUGCAGAGUAGGAGAACGAGUUGUCUGACUAGAGCUUGUCAGAUUAGUUCCUCCCACAUUUUGCCCCGCAGGUGGGAUCAAAGUUUGCAGAGCUUGACUGAUAGUUGAUAGUUGCUUACUCAUAUCCAAUACUGCCUUCUCAAUACUGCCAACAUGUUUAGAUAUAUCACCUUGUUUGGAAUCGAUUGAAUGCAUGUCUUCCUGCAACUUGGAUACAUCACUGCGCAAACUUGCAUUGUCCUUUUGCAGAACACCGAAGUCAUCUCGUAGUGACAGUAUUUCUUGCACAUCGGCCUCAUCAAGAGCUGCCUUGCACCCCAUCGCCUCGAUCUAAGUCACUGGUUAGGAAUUUUACCACUGAUGAACAACAACCCUUCCUGUAACUCAGAUCCUGCCGCCGCCGCGCUCCUCGCCACCCGUAGAAGCAUACAGAUCAGUGCUCGGAUGUGGGAUUUUAUGAACCGAACAGGGAGUUUGAUCAACCACUCCUGCUCUGCGGACCUAUGCCCGAACAAAUCACCGCCACCAGCGCCACCAGUAACCCGUCGAUUUGCCGUACUCCGCCGCCAGCGUCUCCUCGAUCUCUCUCUCAAAUCAGGGUGGGAAAAGGGUGGGAAUCCUAGCUCUUACGAAGAAAUUCAUCCAUGGACCCUCUAACUCCGAGGAUCGUUGGCUCUGAUUACCAAUGUGUGAGGACCCGGUCGAUCUAUUGGACGAUAGCUUGUGGAGAAAGGGGAAAGUUCAUCCCAGAUGUAUAGUAUAUUCGAAGUAUAUGCUUGUUCGAUGACAAGAGUGCAAAGAUUAACGAUAACAACUAGCCACAACCCGGCAACUUAUAUAGGCUAAAGGGUUUUACCGAAAAGGGAAAGCUACAGUAGCGACAAUGGUUUUACNNNNNNNNNNNNNNNNNNNNNNNNNNNNNNNNNNNNNNNNNNNNNNNNNNNNNNNNNNNNNNNNNNNNNNNNNNNNNNNNNNNNNNNNNNNNNNNNNNNNNNNNNNNNNNNNNNNNNNNNNNNNNNNNNNNNNNNNNNNNNNNNNNNNNNNNGGAAGAGGCUGCUCAAGAAGGCCUCCGAGCUCUCCGUGCUCUCCGACAAGAUGUACAGAACCUGUUUGAUGUAAUGCACAUGAGGGUGGAGAGAGGUGGAAGAACUUGGUUGACGUGUGGGCUCUAUUUGUAAUAACGGUCAAAGUUAACGUUCAACCUGACUUGUGGCCCAACAUGUUAGAAAGGCGUUUAGAAGAAGUAAAUGAAGCAGUUUUCAUAGUUGGUAGUUUUUAGCAACAGAUUAGAAAAAAUGAUAAUUUUCAGCACAAAUGUGUAAAUCGGUAGUUACUGGACACGUUUUCAUGAAAUAUGGUAGUUUUUGGUUAAAUACCUCACAUGCGAAGGGCCGAAAAAUGGGGCAGUCUACCAAACACAUCAUACGUGGCUAAUGGACGAGCGUGCCAAGGACAUCCGGUCUAUUCAUUCUGGUUUGGCAUGAUCUUGGAAUAGGUUAAAGAGGAGGUGUUCUUCCAGGCAUAUGACUCAAGACAUGGCGUAGUGCAUUGAAGUGGCACUCUGCUAUGUAUCAGGGCAAUCGUAAUGCUACACUGUGUUAUAUAUCAUGGACGCCAAUGUUGCAUGACAUCAGCUCCUACUGGCCAUUCGAACGAACGGUCAUUCGCGCUGGAGGGAGGAACCCAACAAAGGCAUGCGAACCCCAUGCUCCUUCCGAGACAACCCCGGUUCACCUCCUCUCUUGAGUGGCCAUGGGAAAUCUGCCCGCAUAACACUUGAUUUGAGUGUAUCAAUCGGUUGAUCACGCAAUCGAGAUAAUGACCUGCCAGCGUAUCGUCCCCAGCCCUCUCAAAUUCCACUGAUUUCAAGUGAAAAAUAAGAAAGAAUACAAACCACUAGAUUUUCCAUGGUGGAAAAAGUAGUUGAUUUGCCAUGUACCAAACAGGGGAGGGGGCGGAGGAAAAAAUGCACGAUAGGAGAUUUUUGCCAUGAGAAUUGGCAUAUAUUCUUCAUCACAUUGCAGUAAAUGACUGGGACUAGUGUGAUUUGGUAGGGAAAAUAUAGCAUAAAUUUUCCCACCACACUAUAGCAGCCCCCCACCUCACCCCACCCCAACACCCACAUGUGUAGUACACAUGGAUGGGAAUUAACUGAAAUGUGUGAAAUUGCCAUGAGGGAGAUAACAAGGAAAGAUGUUAAUCUUAAAGCACACUAAGGCAUAGCCUAGUGGUGGAAAGGGGCCGGGUGUCUUCUCACUCAUCAAGGAUCAAGAUAUGGCNNNNNNNNNNNNNNNNNNNNNNNNNNNNNNAAAAAAAAAAAGAUCAAGACAUGGUACUUGCGGUUUAGAUUUGUUGCACCCAUUAUACUAUUGGGUCCACCUUACGGUCUUUCUGUCAAAAAAAGUGACUGGUAGAAUUAUGUUGGUGUAACAAGAUGUAGUGGUCAAAAUUUGUAGUGGCAGUACAAACAAAGUUGCCAUGAGUUUGUAACGGCAUUUUUCAUCUGGGAUAGUGCAUGAGGAUUGGAACCCCUCCUUUGUGAAUAAAAAUGGUGUUUGUGUUGUUGCAAAAAAAUCAUUUGCCAUGCAAAUUGAAUGGGAUUUGCCAUGUAAAUGAGCAUAAACUUGCAUGUAGUAAAGAAAGAAAAAUAUGUUUGUUAAGAUUUUGCUGAGAAACCAAGAUGGUUAUGAUAUGUGGGUCAUAAGAGCAAUUCCAACGCGGUGACCCAAGCGGGUACGGGUUUUGUCUGGAUUUUGUUCGUUUGGGUCGUCCGUCCGUCUAGCGAACAUGAGACAGACACACGUGGGCGGUGGACGAAUCCAACACACAAGAUGCAAAAAGCGGACAAGUGAGGCUGCCGGCGUGGAAGACAUGGCUUUCCUCUCGCGUCGCCGUGCUCCUCCGCGGUCAUGGCCUGCACGACGCUUUCCUCAUGUUUCCCCUCCCAUCAUGGCCGACGACCCCGCCUCCGCCGCACCCUCCUGCUCCUCCGACGAAGAUGAGGAGGGCACCGACAGCGACGCCUUCAACGAUUCCCACCCGGCCGCUGACCAGGAGGCCCCGCUUCCCGACUGCCCGCCCCCGCCUCCUCUAGUGCCCGCUGCCACUGCCUUCCUCGAACCAGUCGGUCUAGUUUCGCCGCCUCCGCCACAGGCCCGCAAGGGGCGAGUGUCGCGACUGCGGCGGAGGACUCGAGGGGGUUGUUCCAGCGGCUGUGGACGGACAAGGAGGAGCUGCUCAUCCUGCGUGGCUUCCUCAAGUUCACGAGGGUGCCAUCUACGACGUCGCAUGCUACAUCCUGCGCCGGUGGCCUCGCCGGUGAGUACCGCGGCGGCCUGCGCCGGUGGCCUCGUCGGUGAGCUCCACGACGGCCUGCAUCGGUGGCUUGGUCGUUACAGUUUUGGAGGAAAUGCGACGCGGCGGUUAUGAAGGAAGUGCGGGUCGCUGAUAGAUAGGACCAGGGCAGACACGAGAGGGGAGGAGCGGACGACGGGAGCGCCCAGUUUUGUCCGUCACGGACCCAUUUGUGGCCCAUUUUUGUGUCUAGUUUGGGUCGGAACGGACAACAAACGGAUAUCAUGUGGACGCUUCGGCCGUUUGGGUCGUCCGGUUGGGCCAAGUUUUCUAUCCAAAUGACCCAAACGGAUGAUUGAAGUUGCUCUAAAGUAAAUGAUUUGCCAUGACAAAAAAAGAUAGUACUUCGUAUUUAUAAGUUGUAGCGUAACAAAUUUUCAUGAGAACAUGAGUACAAAAUCAGAUACCUUUAUUUAUGGCCAUUGUCCCUGUACACCCUUUGAUGAGUACUCUGACUUGCAGCUGUUCGUACUUUAAAUCAUGGACUCACUCAACUUGCCCAGCGCUACCCUGCUGCAAAAUGUUGUGAAUGAAGGUACGAUGCGUGUGUAUAGGGCUCAACUUUGACCUAGGGAAACGGAAGUUGUUGAAAGUAUACAAUAACUUUUGUGUAGCAUGAUAAUUUACGCAGGGCAGAACUGAUAACUUACGUAUAAAUACCAUAAUAAUUUUUAAACCGAGAUUUUUCUUGUUAAAAAUACAACCUCGUAACUUUCUUUGUACUACCUCCGUUGGGGUUUAUAGAACCGAAAAACCAGCACAGCAAGACAAAGACACUUACUUUUUCAAAUGCGUGACCCAUUGAUUUUUUUCAAAGAUUGCAUCGGUUAUCCUGCCCUACAUACAUGCAUCCAAUGAAUAGCCUGCAUGCAACGAAGUACUGUUUUUUCAUGGCUGCAUGCAGCGGCUUUGACCAAUCUUUUCACAAACCAACAGUUCUAGCACCUGGCCUUCUAAUCGUAGCGGGUCAUGUAAACUCGAACGGAUGUACUCCUCCGUUUCAAAAUAAGUAUCGCAAAUUUAUAACUAAACUAGCAUAAUAUUUAUACUAAGUCAUCGUAUUUUAGGACGGAAGGAGUAGUAUACAGCAUGAUAAUAUACACACCAUAGUUACUUAUCUAAUUUGUAACUGAUAAUUUUUUAUUUAAAAAAAGUUGUCGGAACGUAUUAACAUGAGAUCUAGUUUUAAAGGUCUUGUGACAGAUUUUUCUAAUUUAUUUUAAUGAUGAUAUAUUUUGAAUCAAACCUACUGUUUAAGCUACGAAAAAAUUUAAAAUUAGAAGGAUCUGGAGUUCAUCAUCUUUUUGUUCUUUAAUGUAUGCAUGCAUGUGAAUGUGUGAAGAAGAUUGGGGGAACCAUUUUUUAUGCCUCAUUAACCUCUAUACAAUUUAUAUAUCACAAACGUGAUAACUUACAUAGCUCAUACAUAAUAACUUUGGACCCGAAAAAAAGACAUAGAAACGUAUCAAUACCAUCAAAACAUAUCAAUAUAGACAUGAAAUCUAGUUUCAAAGACCUCGUCACAGCAAAUUUAAUGAUGGAAAUAGAUUUUUAAUUUGGCUUUUCGUUUAAGGGAUAAGACAUUUUGAAUUUUGAGAAAAUGAUGUUUACAUCAUCUACAUUUGUUUUCACUUGCAUGUAUGCAUGGAUGCCAUUCCGCACUUUCCCUCGUCAGGGACUGUUCGCCCAUUAUUACAGUCGAAAACUAAAACAAUGAUAUGUACUCCCUCUGUUCCUAAAUAUAAGUUUUUUAAGAGAUUUCAAAACUAAAACAAUGAUAUGUAAUUACAUACUCUUAAAAAUAAUAAUUAAAUAAAAAGACAAUCCUUGGAAAUUACCAGUCUAGUCUUAUUCUAAGACCUGACGAAACAUUAUUGAGUACCCGUCAUAUACAAGAGGAUUCGCUAGCAAAGGACUAUCAGAAAGGUUCAGGCAAUCUGCUGCCCAGGUCAUACACGAUUAUUCAUCAGGUUGGACACAAGCUAAGCUGCUUUCCUUCUGGAGAGUAAUUUGAAAAACUGUUCAAAGGCAGGGUAGAAUGAUCAUCCUUCGUGAUACACUAAACUGGAAACAAAAAACUCAGCUCGAUGCAUUUACAUGGACAGAAAUCGAAGUAUGUAACGGGUGAAGCUACCAUCAUGCCUCCAGGUCGUUCAGGUUUCUCGGAACUUUGACAAAAAGUUUUGAAACGAAGAGAAACCUUCCAUCGCAUCGUGCGGCAUGUUAAGCGUGAAAGGGGGAAGAACACUCGGACCAGCCUUCAGGUUCUUCGGGCCAGCGGCUGACGGUAGCGCAAGUGCAGGCUGCUGUCUGUUGAGCUUUUCUAUGAUGUACGAGAAAGUUCCAAAAGCCAGGCAGCUCUGAAUCAGAGUUUGCGGUGCACCUGCAACAGACAGCAGAAAAUAUGGUACUGAGGUGAUCGAUACAUAUGAAGCAGUUUAUUUAUGCUACAGGAGCAAAAAUAGAAACAUUAACUCCUGCCCCACUCCCUACAAAAAGCAAAGAGAGAAGUUGUAUUCUCAGCACAAAUGAUGAUCCAAACUAACCCCUUUGAUUAUACGAUUUUGGUUAGUAGAAUCUACAUUUCUACGAUCCUAAUAGUUAAGAUUCUACCACUGGUGAUCACUGGUGGAGCUACAGUGGAUUUCUUGGGCGGCCCAACCUGAAGAAGAAACCAUAAGAGAUGGGCCAGGCCACUUGGCAAGCUAGUUAGGCAGUUUUUCAGCUAGGCAGGGCGGGCCAGAGCACAGGUUCGCCCCAACGUAGCUCUGAUCCGAUUCAAAAUAACGAUUUUGACAACCUUGUCGAGCGACCAAGCGGAACGCUCGUUUCAGCAUCUCUCCCUCUCUCGAUCCGCGACGACGGCAAAGCACUCCCACCUCUCCCUCUCCGGCAACGGCUGUCCUAGCCUCCCCCCACUUCUGUCCUCUGAUGGCAUGCAGCAGCAGCGGGCAGCCAGGUACAAGCUGGGUGACGAUCAAGCAGCUGGACGGCGGCUGUAGCGGACAGCUUGGGCAGAGCGGAGGCAGUAGAAGGAGCAGAAGGAGCAGCAGCUCAUGGGCUGUGGCUGGUAGUUGCAGGUGGCGGCCUCACAUGCUGGGCGGCGGCCAGGCGCUGCACGUCUCGAUUUGUUGAGCGACACAACAUGAGGAAUUGGCAGGCGGUGGCUACACCACAGAAGAGCAGGCUCUGCUCCAUUGUCCACUCUCCCUUGUGCGUUUGCUAGACUAGUGAUAAUCACCUAAAUGGAAAUUGUACAUGCUUUUUCUUGCCUUUUGCAACUACAGAAAAUUUGUGCAUGUUGUGGACCAUUUAUUGAUGAUUCUUUCUAAAUUUGUUAGUAAAAUAUGAUUGUGUAAGACUAUUGAUGUUAUUUAUUUGACAUGAUUGUGAUGCAAAAUAUAAAUUAUUGGUGAACAAAAAAUAAAUAAAACAUUGUUUUGAAAUUAAAUAAAGUGAUUCCGAAAAUACAAUUAAUGUUGCAUAUAUAGCCAGAAAAGCAAAACACUAAUCUGAACAUUUCUCAUUAUUCCAUUCCAUCAACCAAACACUGAGAUGUAACUGUUUCAUUCCACCUCAUUAUUCAUACGAAACACAAAGAUGGAACCAUUACAUUCCAUUCCACUUGGUUCUUCAACCAAACACACCCUCAGUGUCUUUGGCGGCACGGCUGGCUUCUGGGCGAUAGGGCAUGCUCGUGGCGGCCAUGGCGGCGACCUAUGUUNGAUAUGGCGUCCAGCGGAGGCUAGCGGCGCGUGUCGAUGGCUUCUGUUGUGCCUAAGACGGCAAUGGCUGGCGACAAUGGUGGCCCAACAGUGCUCGGUCACGACAGCUGCCAAGGCUUCGCCUUUCUCUAUGGGCACGUAGGGCGUGUGAGAUGGUGGCCCUAGGCAGGUUACGGUGGGGGUGGCGACAGUGUGGGGUCCUAAAGGAGGAUGCGGCCGGCGAUGCCGAGGCUGCCCGAAGACCGAAAGUGUCGGUUCCUGGGCAGCUCCCUAUUGAGAUCUGGAGGAGCCAAAUCUUGAAGGAGCACUAGCUGCCGAUCCGUCCAGAGGUUUUGCAGGCAGGUGGCUGGCGCGCGAGCCGAGGUGCAGGGUUUGGGUAUCCCACCCCCCUCAUGGACGGGCAGUUCGUUGGGCAGCCAUGGCGGCGGUGCUGCCCGGCUAUGGCCGUUGGCCUUGUGGUGGGACCCCGAGGGCAGGUGUCUUCUUCCCUUCGGUCGGCGACGGCCACAUGCUAUGCCGUCGGUGAGAGGUUCGGAUAGGGAUGUCGAGGCGGUGGCCUCAGGUGGCGGGCUACUCGAUAGGCUCUCGACGGGUGUACGGGUGUACGGGUGGCACAGUGGUGGUUGUGCUUCUUGGUCAUGUGGGUGGCGAGAGGUGUUGUGGUGGGUGGCAUUGGUGUCUUCUCUGUUGUGGCAGCGAAGGUGCGCAGAUCUGGUCAUGGAGAUCCCGGCUUCGUAGCAGCGGUUGACUUCGUUACUUCUUUGUGGCUCAGGGUAACAACCGGGUGAAAGCUCUGCGCUUCGUCCCCGGCAGAGACGGCGUCCAUGGGUGCUACUUUCCUCUUGAGGAUGUUGUCGCAGUUUCCCCUACCAGGUUUCUGAGUGAAAACAUUUGUUUGUUCCGUCGGCAACGGCGAUGAAUUGUGCCAUUUCCCUCUUGAGAGUGCCUUAUCUUUGGUUGUGGCGUGGUGUUGUCUUCACGCCCUUUUGUAUUCUUGCUCAUCUUCGUCGUGUCUUCCCAUCCGAUGUGUGUUGUCCAUUUUUUUUUCUAUUUUCUACUUUGUUUGAGGGCUUCCUCACCAUCAUGUAUCGUUCAACCAUGUACUUGUGGUUCGUGCUUUACCAUCCAUGCCAGCAAUUGUGCAUCCAUAAAUGGAACCAAGGGGGUAAGGCAAAUCAAGGAGACAAAAUAAAAAUCUAUGACAUCAAAACUGUAAGAACUAAGAAAAUGUGUCAUGUAACACCAAACUAAUUCGGAAAUCAUUAGCAAUAUGCGGUAAACCACAAGAGAGUACAGAAGCAAGUGUACAACUGAUGGAGAACUCAAAACGAUCAACUUUUUAGCCAUAAAACUUGCAACUGAUGCCAGAUAUCUAACCAUGACCUAAAAGGCUAUGCGUGCUUUCAAAACAAAUCACAAGUCCAGAAACCACCAUGACACUAGCACACGUUUGCAGCCAACACUGGGGUUGCCAACCAGGUAAAUUUUUUAUCCAAAUAACCUACACUAGGCAACUAGAAUAAUACAGGCAAAUCAUUUUCACUCUUACUGUUAAACUACAUUAAACUAUGUCAAAACCAUGGUCUUUGGGCAAGGUAUCCAGGAACAACGUUAAAUUUAGAUAGUUCCAGCUAUUAAUUGCAUUGCUAUAACUUUACCUGGAAAACUCAAAGCAAGGCCAGUGCAACAGCCUGCAACUCCUGCAUUAAUAACUGUAGACAAAAGAUCCACAAGUCAAUGGUCAUCCUUGUCAUUUUAUACACCCUAAGUACUUCAAAAAAGGUAGCAGAAUAGCAGCACAAUCUUAAAGGGGGCAUCAAAGACAGACCGUCAUCUUUUCCACGUAGCUUUCUCAAAGAGCAAGAAACCAAACUUUGAACGCCGGCAAGAACAGCAAAUAUCUAGAACAACAGACAAAAUUCUCAAUGUGAUGGUUAACAGAGAAAAGUCUAUUCCAAACGAAAUGAACAUUGGUAUCCAAUUAAUGAAAUAUGUAUCAUCAUACCUUAGCAGAAGAGGCAGCGUCAGCAAAUGAGCCUUUAAACCCUUUUGUGGUAACCAAACCUUUUCCUAAAAAAUCACCAGAUAUAGUUAACAUAACAAAGAGAUAAUUGUUGUGUUUUGAAUAGAAGGAUGACACACAGCAGGGCAGCCUGACAUAACGUAUACCAAACAAAAAUAUUGUGCACAAUGAACACACAAGGCUGAACCAAUUCAAAUUUACAGGUAGCAUUAAAUGAUUGAAUUGAUUUGACAUGACCACCAGAUCCACUACCAUAUUCCAUAAAAGAUCUACAUUGUUAUAUUCAAGGUGGUAAUGGACGUAACCAGAUAGGCUAUUUUUGUUAUCCGCAAAUUAAGGUGGCAUUUAGUUGGUGAUUGGUUCACUUUGCCUCAGCCUGACUGUCAGUGGUGGAGUGCACAAAGCAGCAAUUGGUUUCUUUAUACAAAAUUAGAGCAGUGAUUAAGUAUCACCCAUGCAUGUUGAGCAACUUAACAUGAUAACAGACACCGCGAAGCUCCAUACGUGCCUCCUUUACUAAGAAAGACCCUGCAUGAGAAUGCAAUGUCGGGAGCAUCUAAUCUACCAAUUAAUCACCAGGUCUAGGUAAAACAGAUUUGACAAUUGACAUGCUUUGGAUUUUGGGCAUCCAAAAACUUCUUUGGAUGACAAUGAGACGCAAAAUCCAAAAAUUGGAUUCUAAAAUUAGGCGUAUGCUUGAACCUAUUUCUGUGCCAAACCACUGGUAACAGAUUAGCAACCAAGAACGGAGCUAGGUGUGUAACUCCAUUGUCUCUUUGUGUGUUGCUUUUACUUUAGUUCUUAGUCCACAACAGGUUGUAUGAACACACCACAAACACACAGUAAACAUACGAGUUGAGUAUGUUUGUAUGAGCCAAAAGAAAGUUCUCUACCAAAUUUUCUGAGAAAACCCGCACAUGUUCUGUAACAUUUUCUUUCAUUUGGCAGCAUUAGCAAGUAAUUUCCCCCCCCCCAUUUUAUCCUUUUGCAAGGAAUAAACACACACUGCAGCUUCCAGAUAGGUACGUAUGCAUGCAGUCAGGCCUUGAAUCAAGUAAACGGAGCAAAAACAAUUUGGUUUUACCAACAUUUCUGAGAAACUUCGCACAUGUUUCAAUCUCAGUAAGCACGUGCUUUUUCACGAGGAAUAAUUAUGCGGUUAACUGUAAAAUCCAUCAAUAAUCUGCUCCAUAAUCCUUGGUGCCAGUGUCACACAAAUUAAACAAAAUUGCUACAAGUUCAACUAUCCUGAAUAUGUAACUGUAAUCAGCUGCAUGAAACCCAAACAACACACCAUGUGCUGCAAUUGAGCCUUAUCUCCUAAAUGUCCUCAACACUGGCACAGUAUACUGCGAAUCUAACAAAGAAAAACCAUAAUCAAUGCCUUAUGAAUGACACUACCCAUAGACCGUGUGAACAAUCAGUACUAAGAGCUCAAUUGCACACCCCAGAUUAGACGAACACCUUAAGACACAACCUUAUGGAAUAUAAUCAAAUCUGAUCUCCUGCCAGUCAAAAACCUUAUCAAAUUACGAGAGGCCUAAAAUAGAAAGGGAGCCAGCCAGGACCAAAGAUCGCAGAGCCCUAACCCUAACGGACGUGUCGAGCCGAACGAGGAGGUGGAGGGGACGGCGGUGUUACCAUAUCCAACGACGGCUCCGACGAGGGAACCGGCGGCCGACUCCCAGGCGAAGCGGAGGAGGCAGACCCCAGGNNNNNNNNNNNNNNNNNNNNNNNNNNNNNNNNNNNNNNNNNNNNNNNNNNNNNNNNNNNNNNNNNNNNNNNNNNNNNNNNNNNNNNNNNNNNNNNNNNNNNNNNNNNNNNNNNNNNNNNNNNNNNNNNNNNNNNNNNNNNNNNNNNNNNNNNNNNNNNNNNNNNNNNNNNNNNNNNNNNNNNNNNNNNNNNNNNNNNNNNNNNNNNNNNNNNNNNNNNNNNNNNNNNNNNNNNNNNNNNNNNNNNNNNNNNNNGACUUCAAUGAUUGCCGUAAAAGAUAGCGCGUGAGAGCCCCAUACCUGACCAAACGAGCCGGCCCGACACGGCCCAUGGUAAUCGGGCCUGGCACGGCACGGCCCGUCCAGGCACGUUUAUUAAUCGGGUCGUGUCGUGUCAGCCCGUGGGCUGCGCCUCUAGGCCUGUAAGAUUUGAGAGAGAGAGGUUUUGGAUCAGCACACUUUAUUCAAUCUAAACCAUGAUGUCUAACAGAAAACCCUAAGGAGGUAGUCAGCGGCAGCAAUCGUGCGAGGUGGGUUAGUGCUGGGUUAUCGAUUCCGAGGCAUGCGGACGUGCAUGCGUGCUGGGUCAUCGCCAUGCAUGGGCUUGCUUGAGGGCCAAGUCGGCCGACGCCAUGGGCUGUAGUGAGGUCUAUUCCAAAACCACCCCUCCCCCCCCCCGCCCGCAGUCGAUGCCUCGCUGUCGGAGAUGCAUAGACCGGAGCGGAAUUCCCGAAACAUCGACGGUGGAAGCCCCUUGGUCAUGACGUCGGCGAACUGUUGAGCCGUAGGUACGUGAAGAACACGGACAUGCCCCAGCGCCACCUUCUCGCGGACGAAAUGGAUGUCGAGCUCGAUGUGCUUGGUGCGACGGUGAUGGAUGGCAGAGAGGUACACCGCCGAGACAUUGUCGCAGUAGACUACCGUGGCUUUGGCGACGCCGCAUUGUAGCUCAGUUAAGAGCUGACGCAGCCACGAGCACUCGGCAACCGCAUUGGCAACGGCAGGGUACUCGGCCUCCGCGCUAGAGCGGGACACGGUGGGUUGCCGUUUGGACGACCACGACACCAGCGAAGGCCCCAUGUAGAUGCAGUAGCCAGAGGUGGAGCGGCGAGUGUCGGGGCAGCCGACCCAGUCGGCGUCGGAGUAGGCGACGAUGUCGAGCGACGAGGAGGCGCAGAGAGAGAGCCCAAGCGAGGGCGACCCGUGGAUGUACCUCAAGAUGCGCUUCACCAAUGUCCGGUGAACGUCACACGGAGCAUGCAUUGUGGAGGCAGACUUGUUGCACCGCGUACUCGAGAUCGGGCCUCGUCAGUGUCAGGUACUGGAGGGCGCCGACGAUGCUGCGGUAGAAGGAGGCAUCGGAGAAGGGGACGCCAGCCUGCCCUAAGACCUUGCCCGAGGUGUCGAUGGGGGUAGAUGCUGGCUUACAGUUGAUCAUGCCGGCGCAGUCCAGCAGUUCGAGGGCGUACUUCUUCUGGCAGAGGAAGAAGCCAUCGGAGCGGCGCGUGACCUCCACGCCCAGGAAGUAAUGGAGCGCGCCAAGGUCCUUCAGGGCGAACUCGCAUUGAAGGAGACCGACGACGCGACGGAGGAGAGCGUCGGUGGAGGCCGUCAAGACAAUGUCAUCGACGUACAGCAGAAGGUACACCAUGUCAGUGCCACGGCGGUAGACGAACAACGAUGCGUCGGACCUGGUGAUGACGAAGCCGACACGGACCAGGAACGCGGUAAUGCGUUGGUACCAGGCGCAGGGAGCGUGCUUGAUGCCGUAGAGGGACCGAGAGAGCAGGCAGACGUCGUCGGGGCGCGCAGGGUCGACGAAGCCAGCCGGCUGCUGGCAGAAAACUUGCUCCGUCAGGUGCCCGUGCAAGAAGGCGUUGGAGACGUCGAGUUGAUGGACGACCCAGCGGCGCGAGUAGGCGAGCUGAAGGACACAAUGACUCGUGCCCGGCUUCACGACGGGGGCGAAAGUCUCGGUGAAGUCGUGUCACGCCCAAGAUGCGACCCUAUCCUCAAUUUGGCACGAGGGCCUCGUCAGGGAUAGAAGCGCAUCUCGUCGUGUCGCAAGAAUGGAUAUCGUUACAAGUACAUGUACUAAAAGGAAGAGAUAUAUAAUAGAAUUGGCUUACACUUGCCACAAGCUACAUCAGAGUCACAUCAGUACAUUACAUAUUCAUCAUGAAGAAGAGCAGGGUCCGACUACGGACGAAAACAAACGAGAAAAGAAGAACGGCGUCCAUCCUUGCUACCCCAGGUUGCCGGCCUGGAACCCAUCCUAGAUCGAUGAAGAAGNNNNNNNNNNNNNNNNNNNNNNNNNNNNNNNNNNNNNNNNNNNNNNNNNNNNCCUUUACCUGUAUCUGCAACUGGUGUUGUAGUAAUCUGUGAGCCACAUGGGACUCAGCAAUCUCAUUUCCAAAGGUAUCAAGACUAGCAAAGCUUAAUGGGUGAGGUAAGGUUAAGUGGUGAGGUUGCAGCAGCGGAUAAGCAUAUAUUUGGUGCCUAAACUUACGAGUACAAGAAAUAAGAGGGGGAAGAUCUACGCAUAACGGACGUGAACUACUGGUGAUCAAAGGAAUGAUCCUGAGCACCUACCUACGUCAGACAUAACCCCACCGUGUCCUCGAUCGGAGUAAGAACUCACGAAAGAGACAGUCACGGUUACGCACCUAGUUGGCAUGUUUUAAUUAAGUUAUCUUCAAGUUAUCUAGAACCAGUGUUAAACAAAGCUUCCACGUUGCCACAUAACCGCGGGCACGGCUUUCGGAAAGAUUCAACCCUGCAGGGGUGCUCCAACUAGUCCAUCACAAAUUACCACAAGCCGCAUAGAAAUCCUCAAUCACGAAGCUCGCGAUCUCGUCGGAUUUCCUAGUGGAAAACCUCAACUCUGAGAUUACCCAAAGCAUCACCGGAAUCCCGAUGCACAAGAUAUCUCGUCAAAGGUAAAACUAAUCCAGCAAGGCCACCCGCGCGUGUCGACGAUCCCGAUAGGAGCCGCGUAUCUCGUUCUCAGGACACGAUGGAUGAGCGACGCGUACGGUGGCCUGAUAGAAAUCACCCAAGUUUCCCUGGGUUGGCCCCGCACAGUGCUCUGUUUUGGACCAGCACCAUCAGCACUGGCCCUCCCUGUAUUAUGUAGAAUUACUCCUCGGGUUCAUGACGCCCUAUGCUUUCAGUAUUAACAAAAUUAUUAUGUUGGGAAAAUGUAGUACCAAUGUUGGGCCUUGCCAGACCAGCUUUAAUCUAAAACGAAUUAUCAAGGGGGUCCCCAUAACAACCCCCAUCGUGUUAGGAGCGCUCAAUUAUGGAACAUAACACCGGUAGCCGAAACUAAGGGGGCAAAGGUGGAACAAAACACCAGGCUAGAAAGGCCGAGCCUUCCACCUUUUACCAAGUAUAUAGGUCCAUUAAAUUAAAUAGCAUUAAUAUGGUGAUAUGACAAGGAACUCAUGUUUUCACAUGGAAGCAACUACACCUGCAACUAGCAACGCUAACAACAUGGUUAAGCAAGCAGUAGCAUAGCCAAUCAGUGGUUUGCUAGGUUGAACAAGUUGAAGGUUUCAUGGCAUUGUUGAGAGGCUGAUAUUUAACAUGUGGUAGGCAACGAGACAUAAUCGAUAGAAGCGGUAAAACUAGCAUGGCAAUGAUAGUAAUGGUAUCCGGGGAAAUGGUCAUCUUGCCUGAGAUCCCACUUGGAAGAAGAACAACUCCGUGAAGUCGGCGAACCAAUGUGGUCAGACGGGUCCUCACAUUCCGACACGCUUGCGGAACUCUAUUGAGACGGAGCAAACCGGAAACAAACAUCAACACAGAUAUUCACCACACGAUGCACAACAUGAUGCAUACCCAAUAUGAUGCAUGGACGCCCAACCCCUAAUGAUGCACUUAAACCAUCCUACAUCGGUAAACAGGUGCCACAUCAUCAUGAAGUGACACCUCAGCAGGACUGCCCAAAACUGGAAACUACUAACUCCAUUGGAUUCCUUGGGUUCUCCUCCCCCAAAUCUAUAUACUACACUCCUAUAUAUGCAUGCAGAAAAACACCAGAAACAGCAAAGGAAAAACUACACAAGAUCAAACUCUGCUAACAACAAGAACAGGGGUUGUUCUUGAUAUGCCAGAUUUGGCAUAUACCUCUUCUGAAAUAUCCAGAUAUGGAAAUACAUCACAACACCAAUCAACAAAAUUAUAUAAUCGUCAGGGGGUCCCACUGGUCAUACUCACCAGGGCCCCUAGUAAGGCAUGUGGGCUCUGGACCCACUGACAGAGGCACACUACAACAAGCAACUAAAAACACAAGGGAAAAAACUAACAUGGGAGUAGGGGGACUCGAACCCACUACCUUCUUGCAAGACAACAGGGCAAUCACCACUGAGCUAGGCUCGGAUCACUGCCCUAACAAGGGGAGUAACCCACCUAUGCUACACGUGCAGACAACGCAACAAAUUGAAACAAAAACCCAAAUAAGAGGACGCGCGAGGGGCUCGAACCCUCGACCUACUGGCGCUGCAGUGGCUCGGUUGCCACUACGAUGGUGAAGUAUAACUGCUAGAACAAGGGAAGAAAUGCACAUAUGCAGGCUCUGCUAGCUAGCACAGGAGAACAAAAAUCGUAGAGAAUAAAAGGGGGGCGCUGGGUCUCGAACCCGAGACGUUGAGAACGAAAACAUGCUCGAUGCCACUGCGCUACCGUGGGGAUUCUGCCUAAGAAGGGAGCAAAGCAGAUCUAAAAGAAAACAUGGGGCGUCGCUGGAGCAGGGAGACGCCGGCGACGACGACGCGCGCCAGAGCCACUCGCCUGCAGGCGCAUACGACGCACAACCACGCGAUGCGCUACGUCCCUCGCGUCACUACAUAGCAGGCGCGGAACCUACGCCUAUAAGACGCAUGCACGCAGAGCUGCGGAAACUAGCGCAUCCUGCCGGUGCAACUCCGACAGGGCGGCGCCCACGCGCAACAUCGGCGACCUACUGCAGAGAGGGAAACGAAGGGGGGAUAGAGCUGCGCUCACCCAGGGUGCAGAGAGAGGGCUCGCGGGAGGGGAGACACGCCGCGCGACGACGUCCUGCUGCAGAGAACUCGUCGGAGAGGAAGAAGGACCAUCCGCCGAGGAGGUCGAGGCCGUCGUCCUUGGCGCUAGCUGCCCGUGGGAAUGGAACUCCAUGGGCGCCCGCGAGCUCCUGGUCCAGGAGGGGGAAGAAGGGGGCGUCGGGCUACCACGCAUCAGGCACUUGCCCGAGCCGGCCAUGGUGCGGUGGAGCUCGGGAACUCGCCCCGACGGCGCUAGGAGGGANGACGAGGGUUAGGGUUUCAGAGAGUCCGAGGCUGCUAAGUAUCUCGCACCACCCGCUCGGGGCCGUCUGAUCGAGGGAAGAAACGAUCUAUGGUGGUCAGGGGGUUCGUACGUGCUGACAUGAUCGAGGAGGAAGAAGCUGCCGCCAGCCAGGCCUGGGCUGAUUGCACUCACCUGGGCCUGGUGCUCCCUCUCUCACUGAGAAGGCCUACCUAAUAAAACAUUACAGCGAAAAUCAAACCACACGGGCUAAAGGAAAAUAGUUUUGGUGGAAACAAAAAUAUAACUGGGCUUUUAAAAUGUUGCCACUGUUUAUAAAAAUAAGUGGAACAUUUUUAGAAGUCCAAAAUUAUAUUCAUCUAAUUUAAAUGGGCUUUGAUUUUUUAAAUAAGAUAAGAAGGAAAGUAAAGUAGAAACCAGAGGGGUUGCCUCCACAAAAUGAAAAGGAUUUUUUUUAGGGAAAGAUGAACAUUUUUUUAAAUGGAGAAACAAAGCCUUUUAAACCUGCCACAAAUUAACAUAGAGAGAGAAGGGUUUUCUCCUUAUGGAGCAACAUGUGGGUUUUGACAUGCACUUGUUGCCCCCACACCUAAACAAUCACUAAGGACAUCAACACAACACUUGCACAUCACAACAAGGACACCCACAUCAACACAACCACAACAAAAGGGAAAGAAUGCAAUGCAAGAAGGCAUGAUGCACAUGAAAUGAUGACACAAAGUUAGGCUCACCCCACAUCACACCAACAUGCCAAGGUUGCCAUACAAGGAGGAUACAAAAGGGGAGGGGAGAUUGCACUUGGGCUGUCACAAGUCGAGACCAGCCCGUUGCCGGAAGCCGCGAACGACCCAGCUGCCAGGUGCGAUUCCUCAGUAGCGCGUCGUACUCGUCUUGCAUGACGGCGCGCCAGUGAGGGUCCCGGAGCGCCGAGUGGACGGACGCAGGGAGCGGCGAAGGAGCCGUCGUGGUGGCAGUGCAGACGUACUCGUUGGAGGAGUACCUCUGGCUGGGUCGAUGGACACCCGCGCGCGCACGGGUAAGCACUCCGAAGUGUACGGGGGCAGCAGGUGGGGCAGUUGAGGGAGAGGCCGGCCCCGUACUGGGCACGGGGGCAGCAGGUGGUGGAGGCGUCGUGCCGACAGGAGCGGGGCCCGGUGGUGCAGGAGACGGGGCCGAGACGCCCGGGGCAACUAGCGGAGAAGNNNNNNNNNNNNNNNNNNNNNNNNNNNNNNNNNNNNNNNNNNNNNNNNNNNNNNNNNNNNNNNNNNNNNNNNNNNNNNNNNNNNNNNNNNNNNNNNNNNNNNNNNNNNNNNNNNNNNNNNNNNNNNNNNNNNNNNNNNNNNNNNNNNNNNNNNNNNNNNNNNNNNNNNNNNNNNNNNNNNNNNNNNNNNNNNNNNNNNNNNNNNNNNNNNNNNNNNNNNNNNNNNNNNNNNNNNNNNNNNNNNNNNNNNNNNNNNNNNNNNNNNNNNNNNNNNNNNNNNNNNNNNNNNNNNNNNNNNNNNNNNNNNNNNNNNNNNNNNNNNNNNNNNNNNNNNNNNNNNNNNNNNNNNNNNNNNNNNNNNNNNNNNNNNNNNNNNNNNNNNNNNNNNNNNNNNNNNNNNNNNNNNNNNNNNNNNNNNNNNNNNNNNNNNNNNNNNNNNNNNNNNNNNNNNNNNNNNNNNNNNNNNNNNNNNNNNNNNNNNNNNNNNNNNNNNNNNNNNNNNNNNNNNNNNNNNNNNNNNNNNNNNNNNNNNNNNNNNNNNNNNNNNNNNNNNNNNNNNNNNNNNNNNNNNNNNNNNNNNNNNNNNNNNNNNNNNNNNNNNNNNNNNNNNNNNNNNNNNNNNNNNNNNNNNNNNNNNNNNNNNNNNNNNNNNNNNNNNNNNNNNNNNNNNNNNNNNNNNNNNNNNNNNNNNNNNNNNNNNNNNNNNNNNNNNNNNNNNNNNNNNNNNNNNNNNNNNNNNNNNNNNNNNNNNNNNNNNNNNNNNNNNNNNNNNNNNNNNNNNNNNNNNNNNNNNNNNNNNNNNNNNNNNNNNNNNNNNNNNNNNGGAGGCGAGCUGGAGACCUGUUGAAAGGGAAAAACAUACUCGUCAAAGUACACGUACCUGGAGAUGAGAACUCGCCCAGAUGCCGGAUCGAAGCAACGGAAACCCUUGGUAUUGGGGGGGGGGUAGCCGAAGAAUACGCAGAGAAUAGACUGGGGGCGAGUUUAUGUGGAGAAGUAGCGAGAAGAUUAGGAUAACAGAGGCAACCAAACACCCGGAGGUUGUCGUAGGAGGGUUGGUGACCAAAGAAGAGGUGAUCGGGAGUGAAUUGGCCACGAGCACGGUAGGGGCGCAGGUUGAGGGUGUGGGUGGCGCUGGAGAGAGCCUCGGUCCAGAACCGGGGCGGAACGGCGGCGUGAAGGAGCAGCGCACGAACAACGUCGUUGAGGGUACGAAGAGCACGUUCGGCACGCCCAUUUUGCUGGGAUGUAUACGGGCAUGUAAGGCGGAGGAUGGAACCGUGCGCGGAAAGCAAAGAGUGGAUGCCAUGGUUGUCGAAUUCGCGCCCGUUGUCGGUUUGGAGGCCGAGUAUAGGGCGGGAAAACUACGUUUGAACAAAGGCGAAGAACGAAGUGAGCGUGGGGAGGACAUCCGACUUGCGAUGCAACGGAAAAGUCCAUACAAAGUGCGAGAAAUCAUCGAGAAGCACCAAGUAGUAUUGAAACCCUGAAUUGCUUAUUAUUGGAGAGCACCAUACAUCACAAUGCAACAAUUCAAAUGGAAAACGAGAGAUGUGAGAAGAAGAAAAAGGAAGGCGAGUGCUCUUGCCCAAACGGCAAGCAGAGCACGAGUGAGGCGCACUUUUAAUACAUUGAAAAAGAUUGCUACGGAGGAGCUGGUGCAUGGUCGAGGCACCGGGGUGCCCCAAGCGGGCAUGCCAGAUAUCGACGCCCGCGCGAGGAGGGCGACGCCGGAGCGGAUAGAGAUCACCAGGGCUAUCACAUCGGAGCAGCACCGUCUUGGUCCGCAGGUCCUUGAUGGAGAAACCAAAGGGGUCAAAUUCAACCAAAACAAAAUUCUGACGAGUGAGUGCACGAACAGAAAUGAGAUUAGUGAUAAGCUGAGGAGAAACGAGCACAUCAUAGAGUUUAAUGGGAGAAUGAGGGGAGAGAGAGAUCACCGUGGUGUGUGAUGGGGAGAGAGGAACCAUCACCCACCACGAUGCGAGUAGAUGUAGGGAAGGGUUUAGACUGGGAGAGGAUACCAGGGUGGGAGGCCAUGUGGGAGGAUGCGCCAGUGUCCAUGAACCAGUCGUCGUUGCCGGAGUAGGCGGCCGACGAGGGAGCCUGAUGCAGGGCCGCCAGGAGCGCUGGAUCGUAGGGGGAGGACGCCCCGCCGGAGUUGCUGAGCCAGUGCCCAGGGGGCGUGGNNNNNNNNNNNNNNNNNNNNNNNNNNNNNNNNNNNNNNNNNNNNNNNNNNNNNNNNNNNNNNNNNNNNNNNNNNNNNNNNNNNNNNNNNNNNNNNNNNNNNNNNNNNNNNNNNNNNNNNNNNNNNNNNNNNNNNNNNNNNNNNNNNNNNNNNNNNNNNNNNNNNNNNNNNNNNNNNNNNNNNNNNNNNNNNNNNNNNNNNNNNNNNNNNNNNNNNNNNNNNNNNNNNNNNNNNNNNNNNNNNNNNNNNNNNNNNNNNNNNNNNNNNNNNNNNNNNNNNNNNNNNNNNNNNNNNNNNNNNNNNNNNNNNNNNNNNNNNNNNNNNNNNNNNNNNNNNNNNNNNNNNNNNNNNNNNNNNNNNNNNNNNNNNNNNNNNNNNNNNNNNNNNNNNNNNNNCGCUGCAGAGAGGACUGCUGCAUCCUCCGCUCCUUGAGGCGCAAGUAGUUGAUGGCGCGGGCGAACGUCGGCUCGGUGAGAAGGUUGAGAUUAGAAGCAGCGUUGGCGUAGUCUGAACCGAGCCCACGGAUCAGGUUCGUGAGCAUGGUGGCGUCAGAGACCGGGGCGCCCACGUCGCGGAGCUCGUCGGCGAGCACCUUGAGGCGGAGGCAGUAGUCGAAGAGCCCCAUGCCUUCCUGGGAGAGGCUGUAGAACUCGGUCGUGAGAAGCACAUGACGCUGGAGCUGAUUGUCGAGGAAGAGCUGGCAGAUGGAGGUCCAAAUGCCGAGGGCCGAGUCAUCGUCGCGGAUGACGUGCGAGAGGAUCUCGUUGCUGACGGUGCGAUAGAGCCACUUGAUGGUAGUGGCGUCAACCCUCAUCCAGUUGGCAUCGUCGCGCAUGGCGCGGGCGUCAACCGAUCUGUCGACAUGAUCCCGAAUUUGGAAUUCGCGGAAGGUCAACGAGACGUAGGUGCGCGAGGUGGAGAAGGAGGGUGUGUGGAUAUCCAGGACGACGGGGACGUGAUCCUGGAUGUGGAUGAGCCGAAGGCUGGCGGCAGAGGCAGGCUCGAGAACGGCAAAGGGGUUGACCUCGCCGGCGAGGGAGGAGCGAGGGGAGGCCAUCGCGGCGGUGGGUAGCGGAAGCGAGGAGAGGAUCAGAAGAAAACUAAUACCAUGUAAGAUUUGAGAGAGAGAGGUUUUGGAUCUGCACACUUUAUUCAAUCUAAACCAUGAGUAUUUAUACAGGUAGAUGAUCAGUGUCUAACAGAAAACCCUAAGGAGCUAGUUAGCGGCAGUGACCGUGCGAGGUGGGUUAGCAUUGGGUUAUCGAUUCCCAAGCAUGCGGACGUGCAUGCGUGUUGGGUCAUCGCCAUGCAUGGGCUUGCUUGAGGACCAAGUCGGGCCGACGACAUGGGCUAUAGUGAGGCCUGUUUCAACACCAGGCACGACCCGAUUAUUAAACGGGUCGGCAUGUUGGCCCGAUUAGCACGCUNCACGUGCCCAGCCUCCAGGCCCAGGCACGGUCCGAGGCGUGCUUCGUGUCGAGCCCGAGCACGAUUAGCCCGUGCCGGGCCGGGCCGGGCCCGUGUCGUGCCAGACACGCGGGCUGUCGGGCAAGCCCAUUUACCCGGCCCCCAUUUGGCGAGAUCUGGUUCCAGCAGACACUGUAACAAAAUCGAUGCACGUGUGGUAGUGGUGGAAAGGCACGUGGAGAAGGCGUUGAAUUUAUAAUGUGCGCCGAGCACCAUGCGCCAAAUCUAACACGUGUCGGGCCGCCUUUUCCCGUGCUUAAACUUUUCCCGCGCGUCAGAAUCUUUCGCGUGCGCUGGAGUGCACGCUAAAAUUCAAUUUUCCCUUGUGCCCACGUUUUUUAAGUCACUGUUGGAGAUGCUCUCGGGGGAACCAACUUGAGGGAGCGUGGUAUUCUUAGUCGGCCAGGUUUAAAUCUUGUGCUCGUAUUAUUUUUGAAAUUAUUUUAGGAUUUUCAGCAAUGCGCAUUUAGUGAAAAGAAUCAUUUUUGUCGACGACGAGGCGCCUAGAGUGAUUUAGUAAAUCUUAAGAUGAUAUGGUGGCUCAGUCUCUCGAAUGUGAUCAUAAGGAUAGGGUGUACGUAUAUGAGUUCAUAGGGAUGAUUAUAUACACGUGUAUAUGAGCGCUUACGUAUGUACUGUGUUAGAAAAAUACCGUCGCAUAGAAGAACACGGUUUUUUAUUUUAGAGGAAUGACCAUGUGUCUAUUAAACAAACAAUUACAAUGAAUACAUACAUAUAUACACNAUAUAUAUAUGGGGGGGGGGUCUCUUCAUGACUCAAGUGAAUGACAAGGACAAGGUUGAGAUGCCAUCUUUAUAUCAAAAUUUGUAUCAAUCAUUUCAUGACUCAAAUGGUCUGCUACAAUAAUUUCAAAGGUAUGGCACCCUCAAUCCAUCUCCCAAUAUCGUUCAAUUGCUCUUGGCACGGUGAUGUAUAAGAUUGUUGUUAAGGUAGUAGCUAAUCGUAUGAGGGGCAAUAUGAAGGUGAUCAUUAGUGAAGAGCAAAGUAUUUUUGUGCCUCGGUAUUUAAUUAAUGACAACAUUGUAUUUGCAUAUGAAAGUGUGGACACUAGGAGGCGACAAAAGAAGGGCAAGAGUUUCUCAUGCAUUGUUAAAUUGGUGAUGAAAGCCUACAACUGAAUUGAGUGGCAUUACUUGGAAGCCAUCUUGAUGAAGUUGGGUUUUAGCAUCGAUUUCGUAAGACUUAUUACGAAAUAUGUUUCGUCGGUCAGAUUCUCGGUAAGGGUGAAUCAAGAUCUUCUACCAUACUUCACUCCUACAGGGGGAUUGCGACAUGGCGUCCCAAUGUCAUUAUACCUAUUUCUGCUAUGUGUGGAAAGUUUUUCCUCGCUACUCAAAUACUAUGAUGGUGGCUAUGUGGACAAGGGGACCAGAGUCAAUUAUAGAUCACCGCGGGUGAGCCAUUUAUUAUUUGUCGAUGAUAGCCUCAUCUUCCUCAAUGCAACAAGGUUGAACUCCAUUAUUGAGAUAUGUGGAAGUGCUUCAGGGCAGAGUGUGAAUAUAGAUAAGCGGGCCAUCUAUUUUAGUCCUAACACACCGGAUCCGGUUCGACAAUUGCUGAAAACAUCCUUGGAUAUUCAUGUCGAGGCUUUCAUUGUAAAGUAUCUUGGUCUUCCAACAGCUGUGGGGCGCAUUACAAUUGAACUUUUGUACACAUGGAGAUAGGGCUCGAGGGAAGAUGCAAGAGUAGUUGGAAAAGUUAAUAGCUUGCGCCGGGAGAGAUGCAGUAUUGAAGUUCGUUGUUCAAGCGCUCCCGUUGUACAGUAUGACCACUUUUAUCUUGAACAAGAAAGUCUAUAAGAGCAUCACUUCACCAAUGGCAGAGAAAUUAUGGAGUAUCUCUUUGGACAAGAAAUCUAUGCAUUGGGUUUCAUGGUAUAAACUUGCGACUCCAAAGCGCAAAGAGGGCAUGGGAUAUUGAGACAUGCACCCCUUUAAUUUGGCUUUGCUAGGGAAGCAUGGUUGGCAUUUAUGACCUAGCCUAUAUUCCUAUAUGCAAGGGUUUUGAAGGGUCGCUACUUCCCGCACAUUGAUUUCAUGAAUGUUGUUCUUCCUCGCUCGGUAUCAGCUACAUGGCAUGCUACAAUUGCAGGAAUGGAAUCACUAAAGUUUGUUAUGAUAAAGCGAGCUGGUGAUGGAUCACCAAUUUCGUUUUGGGAUGAUAAAUGGACCGCGGGAAGUAUUUCCAUGACACCGAUGCUGAAACCGGAGAACGGGUGAUUGAAAAGGUCCCUGAGUUGAUUGAUUAGGACAAAUGUACAAGGAAUCAACAUGUGGUCAUAGAUACUUUUAUCCCGUCUCAUGCAGAUGCCAUUCUAAACGUUCCAAUUCGGCAAGGUGGAUGCAAUGAUUUUCUUGCUUGCGCAUUUGAAAAGCCAGGAAACUACAGUGUUAAAUCAGCGUACCAUAUCUCAUGACUUAAAAAGAGUGUUUGACUCUGGAAAAAGGAACGGCUACCGAGACCUCAAAGAGUGGUCAACAAUUAUGGAGUGCACUUCAGAAGUUGAAUGUUUUGCCAAGGGUUAGGGUGUUCUAGUGGAGGGUCUUGCAUGGAAUCAUGCUGGAUAUGCUUUAGGAGGGGCGCACAUUCCUGAUCUUCCCCAUGCCUGUCAGGCGAGCGAGGGCUGGGUGCGGUGCAUGUGCUCGGGUUAGCCCCAAUAGAGCAGAAAAAUCCAAGCGAUUGAGCUCUAGCUCACGGGCCUGCUCUCGUGUACAUCACCUCACCAGGUCCUUGAUGCUCUUGUCUCCUCGCGUAACAUCCAAAGGCAACCCCACGAGCGCCCUCGCUGCACUACUCUUGGCAAUUUCCCUGGUGCAAGAUAUCGAAGGCCUCAUGAGCCCCUGAUACGUCCAUUUUGCAUCAUGCUUUCAUGUUGAUAUUUAUCGCUUCUUGGGGUGUUAUUUCAUUUCACGGUACAAUACUUAUGCCUUUUCUCUCUUAUUUUGCAAGGUUUACAUGAAGAGGGAGAAUGCCGGCAACUGGAAUUCUGGCCUGAAAAAGGAGCAAGUUUGAGAUGCCUAUUCUGCGCAACUCCAAAAGCCAUGAAAAUCAACGUGGAUUUUUUUGGGAAUUUAUAAAAAAUACUGGGAUGAAGAAGUGCCAGAGGAGCGCAACCAGGGGGCCACAAGCCUCGUAGGCGCGACCACCCCCCUGGCCGCGCCUAGGGGGCUUGUGGGCUCCCUACUGGCCCACUGGCUCCCCUCUUCUGCUAUAUGAAGGGUUUCGUUCCGAAAAAAAAUCAAGAGGAGGCUUUUCGGAGGAUUCGCCGCCGCCACGAGGCGGAAGUUGAGCAGAACCAAUCUAGAGCUCCGGCAGGACGAUCCUGCCGGGGAAACUUCCCUCCUGGAGGGGGAAAUCGUCGCCAUCGUCAUCACGAACACUCCUCUCAUCGGAAGGGACUCAUCACCAUCAACAUCUUCAUUAGCACCAUCUCAUCUCCGAACCUUAGUUCAUCACUUGUAACCAAUCUCCGUCUCCCGACUCCGAUUGGUACUUGUAAGGUUGUUAGUAGUGUUAAUUACUAUUUGUAGUUGAUGCUAGUUGGAUUAUUUGGUGAAAGAGUUUAUGUUCAGAUCCUUGAUGCUACUCAUUACCUCUCUGGUCAUGAAUAUGAUUAUGCUUUGUGAGUAGUUACUUUUGUUCCUGAGGACAUGGGAUAAGUCAUGCUAAUAGUAGUCAUGUGAAUUUGGUAUUCGUUCGAUAUUUUGAUGUGUUGUAUGUUGUUUUUACUCUAGUGGUGUUAUGUGAACGUCGACUACAUAAAAUUUCACCACUAUUUGGGCUAUAGGAAGGAAUUGGGAAGUAGUAAGUAGAUGAUGGGUUGCUAGAUUGACAGAAGCUUAAACCCUAGUUUAUGCGUUGCUUCGUAAGGGGCGGAUUUGGAUCCACUAGUUUAAUGCUAUGGUUAGACUUUGUCUUAAUUCUUCUUUCGUAGUUGCGGAUGCUUGCGAGAGGGGUUAAUCAUAAGUGGGAUGCUUGUCCAAGUAAGGGCAGUACCCAAAUGCCGGUCCACCCACAUAUCAAACUAUCAAAGUAACGAAAGCGAAUCAUAUGAACAUGAUGAAAACUAGCAUGACAGAAAUUCCCGUGUGUCCUCGGGAGCGUUUUUCCUCCUAUAAGACUUUGUCCAGGCUUGUCCCUUGCUACAAAAGGGAUUGUGCCACUUUGCUGCACCAUUGCUACUUUUGUUACUUGUUGCUUGUUGCGAAUCAUCUCACCACACAACCACUUGUUACCGAUAAUUUCAGUGCCUGCAGAUAUUACCUUGCUGAAAACCACUUGUCAGAUCCUUCUGCUCCUCAUUGGGUUCGACACUCUUACUUGUAGAAAGGACUACGAUAGAUCCCCUAUACUUGUGGGUCAUCAGCCCCCCAUCACGAGGCCUCGCAAGCUGCUCCCUAUGGAGGACUCACUCCAAGCUGCACACCUCAAAGGAGCUAAGUCUAAAACACCCCUCGGGUUUUAUACCUCUCAUUCACCUCUCAAGGCAUCUUGAUUUCCUUGGCACGAGACGCCUACACGUCAAGGGGGACCCUGAGCAUCGUGCCUUAGGGACUCCUACCAUCCCUAAGAUCCCUACACCAUGUGGCCUUGUUGAGCGCAUGCUCUACACAUACCAGCAACGGUUGUAGCCCGUCCCGGGGGCUGGGUCCAAGCGACACAAGGCACAAAGGCAACCUAAAAGGGAAAUAAAGGCCUCGAGAGGAAAACAAAAACACAUAAAACAUCAACUACUUAAGACAAAAGUGCCAUAAGAAUGUUUUCACACACCCACGAGGCUGCAUAUACUUUAUUACAGCAAUGCGCCAAGGGGAGUCUAGGCGGACGAGGCACCACUGUCGUUACUCUCGCCAUCAUUGUGAGGGGUCUCUCUACCACAACCGAUGUGAUCCCUCGCAACCUCUCGUCUGAAACCAAAGUGACUAUCGAGGCAGAGAAGGUUGUCGAAAAGUCGCAUCGUCGCCAGGGUCAACAAGUCACGACACGCCUCCUCGACGAUGGCGUCCACAUCAAGCAGUUGCUUCUUGAGGUCGUCGACCUCGGCCUAGAGCUUGCCCCGCUGGCCCGUGAGGCCCUUCUGUUCAUCGAGAGUAGCCUGGGCGGAAACCAACUUGCACUCCUUCGCCAAUAGGCGCUCCCGCUCUGCCUCCCACGCAGACGGGAAAGACGAUAACUCGCGCUCCCGGGUCUCGAUGUUCGCCUCGCGGGAGGCGACCGCCCUGGGGCGCCUCAAGACCUCCUCCUCAUGUUUUGUGAGCUCGACUUAGCAGGGCGUGGGACAGCUCUCGGAGGCCUCCAUAGCCUCCUCCCGCAUUUUGAGCGGACGCUCGCAUAAAGCAGGUGGUUCCUAGAGCAUCUUCUCGUCGGCAUGAGGCCCCCUCCCGUUGUCGCUUGGCCUCCUGGCAUUAUCGAGGGCCUUCAUGAGGGACACAUGGGCAUCUUUGGCGAGCUAAUCGUGAUAUGCUUGCGCCUCCUCACCCUGCUGACGGUCUAGCUUCAUCGCCUUCUCAAGCCGGCUCUUCCCCUUCUCCAAGCGUCGCCGCUCCUCCGCGUAGAGCUUUGCCUCUGUGCGCCCCUGGGAGAGUGCCUCCCGAUCCUCGACAGCCUCGCCCUCACCCUCAAGCCGAAGCUCGCCCUCCUCCUUGCCUCCCACCAGUUUUUUCUCCAGGCACGUCGGGGCGACGGGCGAGACGACCGACUCCUUGCUGAUUGCGUUGGGUUCCCUCCAGGCUCAAAUGGUGAUGUAGCACAUCGAAGACAAGUAUUUCCCUCAGUUAUGAAACAAAGGUAUCAAUCUAGUAGGAAGAUCCACAAGACUAUGUAAGCGACACAUGCACACAAAUAGCAAAUCCUUGCAAGCCAACGCGUGGAGAGGUCAUCAAUCCCUCGUGGGUAAAGUAAGGAUAGAUUGAUAUAUGCAAAUAAGAAUGAUAGCAAAUAAAAUGCAGCAUGGUAUUUUUGUUUUUUUAUAAUAUAGAUCUGAAAAUAAAAGAGAAAACAAAAUAGAAACAUGAAUAGCAAAUUAGAGGUUGCAAAUAGAUGAUGUGAAGUAGAUCCGAUGGCCGUAGGUUUCACUAGUGGCUUCUCUUGAGAAAAUAGCAAACGGUGGGUAGACAAAUUAUUGUUGGGCAAUUGAUAGAAGAGCAGAAAAUUAAGACGAUAUUCAAGACAAUGAUCAUGUGUAUGUUGGAAAUAUGCCCUAGAGGCAAUAAUAAAAUAGUUAUUAUUAUAUUUCCUGUUUCAAGAUAAUCGUUUAUUAUCCAUGCUAUAAUUGUAUUGAAUGAAAGCAUAGAUACAUGUGUGGAUAUAUAGACAAAACAAUGUCCCUAGUAAGCCUCUAGUUGGCUAGCCAGUUGAUCAAGCAUGGUUAAGGUUUUUUGACCAUAUGCAAGUGUUGUCACUUGAUGACCGGAUCACAUCAUUAGGAGAAUGAUGUGAUGGACAAGACCCAAACUUUGAACGUAGCAUGUGAUCGUGUCAUUUUGUUGCUAUUGUUUUCUGCGUGUCAAGUAUUCAUUCCUAUGACCAUGAGAUCAUGUAACUCACUGACACCAGAGGGAUACCUUGUGUGUAUCAAACGUCGCAACGUUACUGGGUGACUAUAAAGGUGCUCUAUAGGUAUCUCCGAAGGUGUCCGUUGAGUUAGCAUGGAUCAAGACUGGGAUCUGUCACUCCGUGUGACGGAGAGGUAUCUCGGGGCCCACUCGGUGAUACAACAUCACAUAUAAGCCUUGCAAGCAAUGUGACUCAAGUGUUAGUCACGGGAUCUUGUAUUACUGAACGAGUAAAGAGACUUGCCGGUAACGAGAUUGAAAUAGGUAUAGGGAUACCGACGAUCAAAUCUCGGGCAAGUAACAUAGCGAAGGACAAAGGUAAUGGUAUACGCUAUUAUAUGAAUCCUUGGCACAGAGGUUCAACCGAUAAGAUCUUCAUAGAAUACGUAGGAUCCAAUAUGGGCAUCCAGGUCCCGCUAUUGGAUAUUGAACGGGGAGUGUCUCAGGUCAUGUCUGCAUAGUUCUCGAACCCGCAGGGUCUGCACACUUAAGGUUCGGUGACGUUUCGGUAUAGUUGAGUUAUAGGUGUUGGUGAACGAAGGUUGUUCGGAGUCCCGGAUGAGAUCACGGACGUCAGGAGGGUUUCCGUAAUGGUCUGGUAACGAAGAUUGAUAUAUAGGAUGGUUUCAUUUGGUCUCUGGAAAGAUUUCGGGCAUUACCGACAGUGUACCGAGAGUGACGAAUGCAUUUCAGGUUUUCACCGGGAGGGGCCCACCCACCCGGGAGAGAGCCUAAUAGCCCAAGGGUGGCGCACCAGCCCUUAGUGGGCUGGUGAGGCCAGCCCAAGUGGGCUAUGGCGGCUAAGGAGAAAAAACCAAAGAGAAAGAAAAAAAGGGGAGGUGGGAAGGAAGAGGAGGAAUCCUCCUUCCCCAAACCGAAUCGGAGUUGGAGUCCUCCUCUCCUCUCUCGGUCGGCGCCCUAGGGGCUCCCUUGAGCCCCAAGGCUAGCCCCUCCCCUCCUCCUAUAUAUACUAGAGGUUUUAGGGUUUUUGAGACACAACUUUGCCACGUGCAACUCAAACCUCUACUUCAUAGUUCUUCCUCUAGAUCGGUUUUCUGCGUAGCUCAGGUGGAGCCCUGCAGGAAUAGAUCAUCACCAUCACCGGCGCACCAUCACGCUGCCGAAGAACUCAUCUACUUACCCGUCUAUCUUGUUGGAUCAAGAAGGCGGAGAUCGUCAUCGAGCUGUACGUGUGCUGAACGCGGAGGUGCCGUCCGUUCGGCGCUAGAUCGGAACGGAUCGUGGGACGACGGUGAUAUGAAUCACGAAGCUGUACCACUACAUCAACCGCGUUUCUUAACGCUUCCCGCUUAGCGAUCUACAAGGGUAUGUGGAUCCGAUCUCCCUCUCGUAGAUGAACAUCAUCAUGAUAGGUCUUCGUGUGCGUAGGGAUUUUUUUGUUUCCCAUGCAACGUUCCCCAACAGUGGCAUCAUGAGCUAGGUUCAUGCGUAGAUGUAAUUUCGAGUAGAACACAAAAAUUUUUGUGGGCGUUGAUGUUCAAUUUGCUGCCCUCCUUAGUCUUUUCUCGAUUCGACGGUAUUGUUGGAUUGAAGCGGCCCGGACCAACAUUACUCGUACGCUUACGAGAGACCGGUUUCAUCGACUAACAUGCAACUUGUUGCAUAAAGAUGACUGGCGGGUGCCUGUUUCUUCAACUUUAGUUGAAUUGGAUUUGACCGAGGCGGUCCUUGGAUAGAGGUUAAAUAGAAAUUUGCAUAUCUCCGUUGUGGUUUUUGCGUAAGUAAGAUGCGAUCAUACUAGAUACCAGUAGCAUCCACGUAAAACAUGCAACAACAAAUUAGAGGACGUCUAACUUGUUUUUGUAGGGUAUGCUUGUGAUGUGAUAUGGCCAAAGACAUGAUGUGAUAUAUUGGAUGUAUGAGAUGAUCAUGUUGUAAUAGUUAAUAUCGACUUACACGUCGAUGCUACGGCAACCGACAGGAGCCAUAGGGUUGUCUUCAAACUAACGUUUGUGUUUGCAGAUGCAUUUACUAUAUUGCUAGGUUGUAGCUUUAGUCGUAAUAGCAUAGAUAGCACGACAACCGCGAUGGCGGCACGAUGAUGGAGAUCAUGGUGUGGCGCCGGUGACGAUGAAGAUCAUGCCGAUGCUUUGGUGAUGGAGAUCAAGAAGCACAAGAUCAUGGCCAUAUCAUGUCACUUAUGAACUGCAUGUGAUGUUAAUCCUUUUAUGCACCUUAUCUUGCUUAGAAUGACGGUAGCAUUAUAAGGUGAUCCCUCACUAAAUUUCAAGAUAAAAUUGUGUUCUCCCCGACUGUGCACCGUUGCGACAGUUCAUUGUUUUGAGACACCACGUGAUGAUCGGGUGUGAUAGACUCAACGUUCACAUACAACGGGUGCAAAACAGUUGCACACGUAGAACACUCGGGUCAAACUUGACGAGCCUAGCAUGUGCAGACAUGGCGGGGGGGGGGGGGGGGCAAGAGACCGAAAUGUCGAGCAUGAAUCGUAUAGUUGAUAUGAUUAGCACAGAUAUGUUUACCACUGAAACUACACUCAACUCACGUGAUGAUCGGACUUGAGUUAGUGAAUUUGGAUCAUGCCACACUCAAGUAACUAGAGGGAUCUCUAUUUGAGUGGGAGUUUAUUAGUAAUUUGAUUAGUUAAACUCUAAUUGUCUUGAACAUAGUCUAAGUCCACUUUGCAAUAUUUUAUGUUGUAGAUCAAUGGCUCACGCAGUAGCAACCCUGAAUUUCAAUACGUUCCUGGAGAAAGCUAAGCUGAAAGAUGAUGGUAGCAACUUUGUAGACUGGGCUCGUAAUCUUAGGAUCAUCCUACAAGCUGGGAAAAAGAAUUAUGUCCUUGAUGCUGCACUAGGAGAUGAACCACCCACUACGUCUGAUCAAGAUGUUUUGAACGCUUGGCAAUCACAUAAGGAGGACUACUCAGUAGUUCAAUGUGCAGUCUUGUAUGGCUUGGAACCGGGACUUCAACGAUGCUUUAAACGUCAUGGAGCAUAUGAGAUGUUCCAGGAGUUGAAGUUUAUCUUUCAGAAGAACGCCCGGAUCGAGAGGUAUGGGACCUCCGAUAAAUUCUAUGCUUGCAAAAUGGAGGAGAAUUCGUCUGUUAGUGAACAUGUGCUCAAAAUGUCUGGGUAUUCAAAUCAUCUAGCCGAGUUGGGGAUUGAACUCCCGCAAGAGGCUAUCAUUGACAGAAUUGUUCAAUCACUGCCACCUAGCUAUAAGAGCUUUGUGUUGAACUAUAAUAUGCAAGGGAUGAACAAGUCACCCCGCGAGUUAUUCACGAUGCUGAAAGUCGCAGAGUCAGAACUCCGGAAAGAACAUCAAGUGUCGAUGGUCAAUAAGACCACUGGUUUCAAGAGAAACAACAAAGGCAAGAAGGGUAACUCCAAGAAGAGCGGCAAAACAGUUGCCAAUCCGACGAAGAAACCCAAGGCUGGACCUAAGCCGGAAACAUGGUUCUAUUAUUGCAAGGGGAUGGGUCACUGGAAGCGCAACUGCCCCAAGUAUUUGGCUGAUAAGAAGUCGGCCAACGCCAAACCAGGUAUAUGUGAUAUACAUGUUAUUGAUGUGUACUUAACCAACUCUCGUAGUAGUGCCUGGGUAUUUGAUACCGGUUCUGUUGCUCAUAUUUGCAACUCAAAGCAGGAACUGCGGAAUAAACGAAGGUUGGCGAAGGAUGAAGUGACGAUGCGCGUGGGAAAUGGUUCCAAGGUUGAUGCAAUCGCCGUCGGCACAGUCUCACUUCAGUUACCAUCAAGAUUAGUUAUGAACUUAAAUAAUUGUUAUUUAGUGCCUGCGUUAAGGAUGAACAUUAUAUCUGGAUCUUUUUUAUUACGAGACGGAUACUCAUUUAAGUCAGAGAAUAAUGGUUGUUCUAUUUUUAUGAGUAAUAUCUUUUAUGGUCAUGCACCCAAUGUGAGGGGUUUGUUCAUAUUGAAUGUUGAUUGUGAGUUAACAAUGAUAGCGCCACCUUUUUGUGGCACUUCUGCUUAGGUCAUAUUGGUGUAAAGCGCAUGAAGAAACUCCAUGCUGAUGGGCUUUUGGAGUCACUUUAUUUUGAAUCACUUGACAUGUGCGAACCAUGCCUCAUGGGAAAGAUGACUAAGACCCCGUUCUCUGGAACAAUGGAACAUGCAAGUGACUUGUUGGAGAUCAUACAUAAUGAUGUGUGCGGUCCAAUGAGUGUGGAGGCGCGUGGCGGAUAUCGUUAUUUUCUCACCUUCACUGAUGAUUUGAGUAGGUAUGGAUAUAUCUACUUGAUGAAGCACAAGUCUGAAAUGUUUGAAAAGUUCAAGCAAUUUCAGAGUGAAGUGAAAAUCAUCGUAACAAGAAUAUCAAGUUCCUACGAUCUGAUCGAGGGGGUGAGUAUCUGAGUUUCGAGUUCGAUGCUCACUUAAGACAAUGUGGAAUCGUUUCACUGUUGACACUUCCUAGAACACCACAGUGUAAUGGUGUGUCCGAACGUCAUAAUCGUACUUUGUUAGAUAUGGUGCGAUCUAUGAUGUCUCUUACCGAUUUGCCAUUAUCGUUUUGGGGUUAUGCAUUAGAGACAGCUGCAUUCACUUUAAAUAGGGCACCAUCAAAAUCCGUUGAGAUGACACCAUAUGAGCUAUGGCAUGGCAAGAGGCCAAAGUUGUCGUUUCUUAAAGUUUGGGGAUGCGAUGCUUAUGUCAAAAAGCUUUAGCCUGAAAAGUUGGAACCCAAAGCGGAAACGUGUUUCUUCAUAGGUUACCCAAAAGAGACAGUUGCGUACACCUUCUAUCUCAGAUCCGAGGGCAAAGUGUUUGUUGCUAAGAAUGGAUCUUUUCUUGAGAAGGAGUUUCUCUCGAAAGAAUUGAGUGGGAGGAAGAUAUAACUUGAUGAGGUUGUGGAACCUUUGCUCCCUCUAGAUGGUGGCGUAGGGCAGAGAGAAAUCUCUGUCGAGGCAACACCGGUUGAGGAAGAAGCUAAUGAUGAUGAUCAUGAAGCUUUGGAUCAAGUUACUAUCGGACCUCGCAGGUCGACAAGAUCACGUACUGCUCCUGAGUGGUACAGGAAUCAUGUCUUAUCGAUCAUGUUGUUAGACAACAAUGAACCUGUGAAUUAUGAAGAAGCAAUGGUGGGCCCGGAUUCCAACGAAUGGCUGGAGGCCAUGAAGUCCGAGAUAGGAUCUAUGUAUGAAAACAAAGUAUGGACUUUGGAAGUAUUACCUGAAGGUCAUAAGGCUAUUCAGAACAAAUGGAUCUUUAAGAAGAAGACGAACGCGGACGGUAAUGUGACCGUUUAUAAAGCUCGACUUGUGGCAAAGGGUUUUUCACAAGUUCAAGGAGUUGACUACGAUGAGACGUUCUCACUGGUAGAAAUGCUUAAGUCCGUCCGAAUCAUGUUAGCAAUAGCUGCAUUUUUCGAUUAUGAAAUCUGGCAGAUGGAUGUCAAAACGGCGUUCCUUAAUGGUUUUCUUAAGGAAGAGUUGUAUAUGAUGCAACCCGAAGGUUUUGUCGAUCCAAAGAAUGCUAACAAAGUACGCAAGCUCCAGCGAUCCAUUUAUGGACUGGUGCAAGCAUCUCGGAGUUGGAAUAAGUGCUUUGAUGAGGUGAUGAAGUGUAAGGACUAAGAUGCGGUCCUUUUCGGUUUAGGGGAACGAGGCCCCAAAGAGGAAAGAAGCGCAUCUAAGCGUUUCGCAAACACGGUAACAUAGCACAUACAUAAUAAUAGAAUGACAAUUAGGGAUUCAACUGCCAUAUCAUAAAUAAUAUUAGAGUUUACAUCACGCAUCCAAGCAAGGUAGUUCCGCUAUGGACUACAAAACAUGAGAAAUGACUAUGUUACCCUGCAUGCUUGCCCACGAUCACGACCACGCCUCAGUCUUUUGGACAGUUCACGUACAGGCGGUCGUUCUCCUCAUCGUACUGCCACGCCAGCUACGUGUCGUCGGGAUCACCUGUCUCGGGGGUACCUGAACCUAUUGGUGCGUUGAAGUAAUAUGUGAGCCACGGGGACUCAACAAUCUAUGACCUCGGUGCUAGAACUAGUCAAGUUAAUAGGUAAGGAAGGUGGAGUAUUUAGGUUGCAACAUCCUAAGCAUAUAUGGUGGCUAACUUACGUAGAGCAAGUAUUGAAGAUGGUCUAUACUAGCAAUCGAUGAUUAGCUGAUCACUAAGUGAUCCUGAACACCUACUUAUGUCAAUCAUAACCCCACCGUGUUCCCGAUCGAAGAGAAGUCUUCGAAGGGGACAAUCACGGUUACACAAACAGUUGGCAAUUUUAUUAGCUUAUGUUUAAGUUAUCUAUAAGCGGAUGUUAACAAAUAUUCCAAGUUGCCACAUAACCGCGGGCACGACUUUCCGAAAUAUUAAACCCUGCAGGCGUGCUCCAACUAGUCCAUCACAAAUGGUCACGGGCCGCAAAGUAAUCCUCUAUCACGAAUCUCGUGAUCUCGUCGGAUUCCUUAGAGGAAAACCUCAACUCUGGGGAGAACCAAAGCUUCACCGGGAUUCCUAUACACAAGAUAUAUCGCUAAGGUAAGACAAGAUUAGCAGGACCUCCCGUCGUGUCGACGACCCCGAUAAGAGCCGCGUAUCUCAGUCUCAGGACACGACGGAUGAGCUACGCGCACGAUGGCCUGAUAGAAAUCACUCAAGUUGCCCUGAGUUGGCCCCGAACAGUGCUCAUUUUGGACCAACACUCAUGAGGAGCACUGGCCCGGGUUGUUGAUUAACUCCUCGGGGUGAUCAUUCCCUAUGCAGAUUAUUAUUAAGUGAUUAGCAAAUUAACACCAAUGUUGGGUCCCUCCGGACAAGUCUUAACACUACACGAUUUAUCAAGGGGGUCCCCAUAACAACCCCGAACGUGUUAGGAGCGAACAGUUAUGGAAUCAAACACUCGUAGCCGGAAACUAUGGCGGCAAUAACGGAACAAAACACCCGGAAAAAGGCUAAGCCUUCCGUUAUUUACCAAGUAUAUAGGUGCAUUAAUUAAAUAAUAGAUUAACAUAAUGAUAUCAACUGAUGUUAUCACAUGAGACAAAGCACCUGCAACUAGCAACGCUGACAUUAGUAGCUGAGCAAAGCCUACUUAGCCGUUCAAGAUUUGCUAGGAGGGGAAAGUGUUUGGUUUUCAUGGCAAUAUUCAGGAGGCAAUUAUUUCAGUGGUAGGCAGCGAGCAUAUGACAAGGAAACGUGAAUCUAGCAUAACAAGUCUAGAGAUGGAAUCAAGAUCAUAUCAUCUUGCGUGUGAUGUCCUCAGCUUGGAAUUGCUCUGGUUCGUCCUGCACGUACUCUCCCGGAUCCACGUACUCAUUCUCUGAUCCCGGUGCUACCCAACAUAAAAAUAACAUCCAAUGAAUAACAACACUUCAAGAUGCAACAAGCACAUGAUGCAUGAGAUGAAAAUGAACAUGCACCUCUAUUGUACUCACUUGAACAUGCUUGAGAAGGAGAUACAAGUUCCUGGACAAAACUGCACUCUAAGCUAUCUUGUCAUGUAUGAGGAUGACAUGAACAGAAGCGUCACGCGAAAAUGAUGCAAAAACAUAUAAAGAACGUUACGUUCGGAGCUACGGAUCAACCGGAAACAAUGAAACAAGAAAUAGAGUCCUACGUGUCAAAUUCGUCACCACACACUCCAAUGGCAUACUUCUGCUAUUCCCAGGUUGCCAUAUCACAAAACAAACAAGAAUGGAUGGGGUGGUGCAAAGAAUACCACCACACCAUCAACUAUGCACUCCCAAGCAUCAAACAUCAAAACUAUACAAUCUGCCAUAAGCAACAUCAUAGCAGUUUGAGAGCUACAUGCAAAGCACCUACAGCUGCCCAAAUAUGCCAAAUAGGAUAUGUGGCAGAAGCUAUCCAAGAGUACUAGAAGCAUGAGCAAAAAUCUAAUUCGAAGGAGUUUCAUACGGAAAGUUACACAGCUGCUAACUUGGCCAAAAAUAUUAGUUUCCAGGGACUUAGUGAAAAUCUCAGAUUCUCACUAGCUGUUUAUGCUCUGAAGCAUUUUGACAGCACCCAAAACAAUAUCUACAGGAUUCCAAAUGGAAUGAAAAUUGACAGAUAGCUAUACAAAUACAAAAUCUACAACUUCCCAGUUGAUAGCUAGGGCUGAUUCCCAACACAUGGUCUUCUACAAGCACAACAACAGGAGAAGAAAAUAUAAGCAGAUUCCCAGACUUAGUGAAAAUCUGUGAUUUUCACUAAACUGGAAUUUUUAGUCACAUGCCUACUUUGACUAGGCACAACUUGCACACAUGAACUCCUAAGCAUGAAACAAAACCAACAUGUGGUAGAAGGGUUCACCCUCUACCGCCACAACAAAGAAUCAACCUCUUGGGCUCAUCACAUCACAUGGAACCAAGCUCUAAACAUGGAACAAAACUGAAAUAUGACAUUCCCAGAAAGUGUUCCAAAGGCAAAACUUACUUCACCAAUGGAUUCAUGGGAUGAUUCUACCCCAAAAACAUAUAUAAUACAUAUGCACUUGCAUAGAAUAAUUGGGCACAAGGCUAAGAAGAAGAUAAGCAUGGAUUCACAAGGUGUGAAUAGUGCAUCAUCACAUGUGCUAUUCAGUAAAACAACACCUACAUAUCCACUUGCACACUAUCAACACUACAAUGGUGCACAUGAGGGUUAUCCCUCAUGCUCAUGUGCCUUAGCAAACCACCACACACACACACAAGCAUCAAGCACAACAUAAUAUAAACACCUACACAUGCUAAUGGGAACACCCACACUAGAUUACACCACAACAUCUAUACACCUUCACAUAUAAACAUGCUCAUGUGCUCAUCAAGGCACUCCAUGCCUUGAGCAUGUGUGGGACACACACACACCAUCUCACACAACAACACAAGAGCACCUACAUAUACACAAGGUAGGUGAGGGCGGAAACCCACACACACACUCACAUCACAUACUUGCACAAGAUAGGACAUAAGNNNNNNNNNNNNNNNNNNNNNNNNNNUGCAUAUCUAUAGCCUAGUGCAACACACAACUAAACACACCCACACAUACAUGUCAUCUAGCUCACAAUGCACAUACAUACAUAUCACUACACAUGCAUAUUUACAUAGCUAGAGAAAUACUAGGAACCUGCUAGAAUAAAUCCAGCAACCAAAACUUGCCUCACAAGCAUGCUGCAGUACAAUAUAGCAAGCAAACAAAACAAACAGGGAAGAAAUGCACAAAAAAAGGACAGGGGAGGGAUCGAACCCUAGAGCCCCUGAUCACCACCUGCACCUCAUACCACUGCGCUAUGGAACAGUCACUUGACAGAUAAGGAAAGCCUAGCAGGAUAAGGUGAUACACGCUGCUCUGUUACUGUGCCGAGAGAAAAAUAGCACAAAAAGGGGGGUUUGGCGCCGCGGGGAUUCGAUCCCACAACCACCUGAUCCACAACAAACACUGCACCACUAUGCCGCGCUACUAUACUUGACAGAGAGGAGGAACUCUCCAAGGUAAGACAUCGAAGCCGGCCUGCUCUGCUACUCACAGAGACGCCGACGGCAGCAAGCCACCGGAGCAAACCUACUUGCUCUACUGCUGCUCUACGCGCGGGGAUCCAUCUACACUACAACUACUACGCUGUUGGAGGCCCCGAGCCACGACGAGCCAAGCACAACAACACAAGAACGACACACCACCUGCACCUGCCCUCGUGCUCUUCUCUGAACAGAGAGGCACGACCUCGAUCUCCUACGCGCAACUACCGAGGAAGAAAAGAGGAAGAUACUAGCUCUCACCUAGGGGAAGGAGGAGAGGUUGCCGAUCGGGGAAGAGGCCUGCCUGGAGAAGAACGAAGACGACCUGAAGCGCCUGACGAAGAACUCUGCAGAACCAAAGCAGGGAGGAACAGGCCGCCGGGAACACGCCGUUGACGUGGUCCUGCCCGUCGCUGUGGUCGCGCUUUGACCUCAACAACAACGGGAAUGGAACGCGGGGCCUACCCCCGAGCCCCCUGACAUGAUGGCCGACACCGAAGGCGGCGGAUGCACGGGAUCGACGACGGCGCACUACUGCCCUCUAUGUGUACCUGGAUCUACAGGAGCUUACCUUGGGGAAGGAGGAGAAGGAUGGAGACGGCAGCGCUAGAUGGGGGAAGCAUGGAACCCUAGGGCAAGGGGGCACGAACGCCGAGGGUUAUAAGAGGGCCUCGACGUCUGUGAGCCCUCACGGCAUGCUCGCUCCCUCUCUGCUGCGUGACGGAAAGCGACGCACGGGGAGACGCCGUCUGAAGAAGGAGAAGGAACGCGUGCCUGGGCUGCCGCGGGGGGGGGGGAGAGAAGCUAGGCCUGCUAGUGGGAGGAGGCCCACUAGUUGGCGCCAGGUAGAAGGAAAUAAACCCAUGGGGUUUAUUAAUUAAGCCAAGACCAGACAAACAAAACAAAUGCACAUGCUAAACAGAUAAAGCUAAAAUUAAAUCAAAAAUACCCCUGGUCAUAAGAAAUUAUGACCUAUUUAAAUAAAAUAGAAAAGAAAUAUUUGGAGCAAUUAAAUAUUUACAAAACAACAUUUAUAUGAUAUGUUUUGGGAAUAUUUGCACCUUUAAAAUAUAGAUUCAAAACAACCAAUUCACAUCUUCACAUCCACCACAAAGUAUACUAAAUCAUGGACAUUUUUUAAAACAAGGAUGGGACAAGUGAAGCUUGACCUUGAGAUAAAUAAAGAGGAAGAUGGUUUUGAAGCCUAUGCAAACCACAUAGUUUCCUACUAGCAAUUGCACCACUCCAUUACUCACAUACACUAUCAUCACAUGACAUAUUCAACACACCACAUACCCACAUGGAUUCACAAAGGCACAAACACAAGACAUGGGUGAAUGAUAGAUGCAUGCAAGCAAAGGAAGAACAAAACAAUGUGACAUCACAUGAAAUCAUAUGCAUUGAGCUCUCAUAUCAAUGACAAGGUGGACCCACAUAGAGAAGGUUCCAGAUAUGGCAAGAUACACUCUUGGGGCAUUACAUGAAGGCAUUUGGGUUUAUACAAGUUAUUGGAGAAUCUUGUAUUUACAAGAGAGUGAGUGGGAGCUUUGUAGAGUUUCUUAUAUUAUAUGUGGAUGACAUAUUGCUGAUUGGAAAUAAUGUGGAGUUUUUAGAGAGCGUAAAGGAUUACUUGAACAAAUGUUUUUCAAUGAAAGACCUAGGAGAAGCUGCUUACAUAUUAGGCAUUAAUAUCUAUAGGGAUAGAUCGAGGUGCCUAAUAGGACUUUGACAAAGCACAUACCUUGAUAAAGUUUUGAAGAAGUUCAAAACGGAGCAGUCCAAGAAGGGGUUCUUGCCAGUGUUACAAGGUAUAAAGUUGAGUAAGACUCAGUGUCCGGUAACCGCGGAAGAUAGAGAAAAGAUGAGUAGCGUCCCCUAUGCUUCAACCAUCGGGUCUAUCUUGUAUGCAAUGUUAUGCACAAGACCGGACGUCAGCCUGGACAUAAGUAUGGCACGCAGGUUUCAAAGUAAUCCAGGAGUGGAUCACUGGACGACGGUCAAGAAUAUUCUGAAAUACCUGAAAAGGACUAAGGAAAUUUUUCUCGUUUAUGGAGGUGACGAAGAACUCGUCGUAAAGGGUUACGUCGAUGCAAGCUUUCACAUUGAUCCGGAUGACUCUAAGUCUCAAUCCGGAUACAUAUUUGUUCUUAAUGAGGGUGCGGUAAGCUGGUGCAGUUCCUAGCAAAGCGUCGUAGCAGAUUCUACAUGUCAAGUGGAGUACAUGGCUUCCUCGAAGGCAGCUAAGGAGGGUGUCUCGAUGAAGCAAUUCAUGACGGAUUUUGGAGUUGUGUCGAGUGCACUAAAUCCAAUAACUCUGUUCUGUGACAACACUGGUGCCAUUGCUCUAGCCAAGGAACCAAGGUUUCACAAGAAGACCACACACAUCAAAGGACGCUUGAUACGUCUCCAACGUAUCUAUAAUUUUUGAUGGUUCCAUGCUAUUAUAUUGUCUUCUUUGGAUGUUUUGCAUGCCUUUUAUAUAUUUUUUGGGACUAACUUAUUAACUCAGUGCCAAGUGGUAGUUCCUGUUUUUUCCAUGUUUUUGACCCUUUUUCAGACGGAGUCCAAAUGGAAUGAAACUUUACGAUGAUUUUUUUGGACCAAAAGAUACCCCCAAAGCUUUGGAAGAAGGCCAGAAGAGCCACGAGGGAGUCACAAGCCCAUGUUAUGCGGCCUACCCCCCUGGUCGCACCGUGCAGGCUUCUGACCUCCUUGUGGGCCCAACUGACUCAAUUCCACCGCCAUAAAUUCCUAUAAAUUCAGAAACCCCCAGAAAGAAACCUAGAUCGGGAGUUCCGCCGCCGCAAGCCUCUGUAGCCACCAAAAACCAAUCUGGAGCCCGUUCCGGCACCCUGCCGAAGGGGGAAUCCAUCUCCAGUGGCCAUCUUCAUCAUCCCGGCGAUCUCCAUGACGAGGAGGGAGUAGUUCUCCCUCGGGGCUGAGGGUAUGUACCAGUAGCUAUGUGUUUGAUCUCUCUCUCUCUCGUGUUCUUGAGAUGUCUUGAUCUCGAUGUACCGUGGGCUUUGCUACUAUAGUUGGAUCUUACGAUGUUCUUCCCCCUCUCCCUUCUUGUAAUGAAUCGAGUUUCCCCUUUGGAGUUAUCUUAUCGGUUUGAGUCUUUGAGAGCACUUGAUGUAUGUCUUGAACCUGUCUAUCUACUUUGAUCAACCUGCGGGUUUGUGACAAUUGGGAACCUAUGCAUAUGGUUGGCACACGUGGAUUCAUGUGAGUACUCGAUGUAUGUUUUGGUGAUCAACUUGUGGGUUCGUGACAUUGGGAACCUAUGCAUAGGGGUUGGCACACGUUUUGACUCUCCGGUAGAAACUUUGGGGCACUCUUUGAAGUUCUAUGUGUUGCUUGAAUAGAUGAUUCUGAGAUUGUGUGAUGCAUAUCGUAUAAUCAUGCACACGGAUACUUGAGGUGACAAUGGAGUAUUGAUACGUCCAUUUUGCAUCAUGCUUUCAUGUUGAUAUUUAUUGCUUUUUGGGCUGUUAUAUUACUUGUGGUACCAUAUUUAUGCCUUUUCUCUCUUAUUUUGCAAGGUUUAUUUGAAGAGGGAGAAUUCAGGCAGCUGGAAUUCUGGACUGGAAAAGGAGCAAAUCCUAGUCCACUAUUCUGCACAUCUCCAAAUGCCCUAAAAAGUUACGUGGAUUUUUUUGGGAUUAUAUAAAAAAUAUGGGGCGAAAGAACUACGGGAGGGGGGCUACCAGGGCGCCACAAGCCCUGACACCGCCACCCCCUGGUGGCGGAGUGGGGGCUUGCGGGUUCCCUGACGGCCCACUAGCCCCCCUCUUUUGCUAUAUGAAGCGUCCUGGUCCAGAAAAAAAUCAAUUAGGAGCUUUUUCGUGGUUUCGCCGCCGCCAUGAGGCGGAACUUGAGAAGAUCCAAUCUAGAGCUCCGGCAGGACGAUCCUGCCUGGGAAACUUCCCUCCCGGAGGGGGAAAUCGUCGCCAUUGUCAUCACCAACACUCCUCUAAUCGGAGGGGAUGCAUCUUCAUCAACAUCUUCAUCAGCACCAUCUCCUCUCCAAUCCCUAGUUCAUCUCUUGUAACCAAUCUUCGUCUCGCUACUCCGAUUGGUACUUGUAAGGUUUCUAGUAGUGUUGAUUACUCUUUGUAGUUGAUGCUAGUUGGAUUACUUGGUGGAAGAGUUUAUGUUCAGAUCCUUGAUGCUAUUCAUUACACCUCUGAUCAUGAUUAUGAUUAUGUUUUGUGAGUAGUUACUUUUGUUCCUGAGGACAUGGGAUAAGUCAUGUUAAUAAUAGUCAUGUGAAUUUGAUAUUCGUUCGGUAUUUUGAUAUGUUGUAUGUUGUCUUUUCCUCUAGUGGUGUUAUGUGAACGUCGAUUACAUAACACUUCACACCAUAUUUGGGCCUAGAGGAAAGCAUUAGGAAGUAGUAAGUAGAUGAUGGGUUGCUGGAGUGACAGAAGCUUAAACCCCAGUCUAUGCGUUGCUUCGUGAGGGGCUGAUUUGGAUCCACUAGUUUAAUGCUAUGGUUAGACUUUGUAUUAAUUAUUUUUUUGGAGUUGCAGAUGCUUGCGAGAGAGGUUAAUCAUAAGUGGGAUGCUUGUCCAAGUAAGGGCAGUACCCAAGCGCCGGUCCACCCACAUAUCAAACUAUCAAAGUAACGAACGCGAAUCAUAUGAACAUGAUGAAACUAGCAUGACAGAAAUUCCCGUGUGUCCUCGGGAGUCUUUUUCCUCCUAUAAGACUUUGUUCAGGCUUGUCCCUUGCUACAAAAGGGAUUGGGCCACUUGCUGCACCUUUGCUACUACUUGUUACUUGUUACUUUUUGCUCGCUACAUUUGACCUCACUACACCAUCACUUGUUACCGCUACUUUCAGUGCUUGCAAUUAUUACCUUGCUGAAAUCCGCUUAUCAGAGCCUUCUGCUCCUCGUUGGGUUCGACACUCUUACUUAUCGAAAGGACUACGAUUGAUCCCCUAUACUUGUGGGUCAUCGAGACUCUUUUCUGGCGCCGUUGCCGGGGAGUGAAGUGCCUUUGGUAAGUGGAAAUUGGUAAGGAAACAUUUUUAUAUUGUGCUGAAAUUUAUUGUCACUUGUCACUAUGGAAACUGUUCCUUUGAGGAGUUUGUUCGUGGUAUAUUCACCACGAACGGAAGCACGAGGAGUUUCUCCUCAACCUGAGGUACCUACUGAAAAUAUCUUUUAUGAAAUUCCUUCGGGUAUGCUUGAGAAACUGCUGGCUAAUCCUUUCACAGGAGAUGGAUCUUCACAUCCAGACUUGCAUCUGAUCUUUGUAGAUGAAGUUUGUGGUUUAUUUAAGCUUGCAGGUUUGCCCGAGGAUGUGGUAAAGAAGAAAGUCUUUCCUUUAUCUUUGAAGGAUAAGGCAUUGACAUGGUAUAUGCUAUGUGAUGAUACUGGAUCAUGGGGCUACAAUCGGUUGAAAUUGGAAUUUCAUCAAAAGUUCUAUCCUAUGCAUUUAGUACAUCGUGAUCGGAACUUUAUUUAUAACUUUUGGCCUCGUGACAGGGAAAGCAUAGCUCAAGCUUGGGGGAGGCUUAAAUCAAUGCUAUAUUCAUGCCCCAAUCAUGAGCUCUCGAGAGAAAUCAUCACUCAAAACUUUUAUGCUCGAUUUUCUCAUGAAGAUGUACCAUGCUUGACACUUCUUGUGCCGGUUCUUUUAUGAAGAAGGAUAUUGAUCACAAGUGGAAUUUAUUGGAGAGAAUCAAACGCAAUUCUGAAGAUUGGGAGCUGGAGGAAGGUAAGGAGUCAAGUAUGAAUUUCCAGUUUGAUUGCGUUAAAUCUUUUGUUGAGACAAACACUUCUAGAGAUUUUAGCACAAAGUAUGGACUUGAGUCUGAGAUAGUAGCUUCUCUAUGUGAAUAUUUUGCUGCUCAUGUUGAUCUUCCCAAAGAGAAGUGGUUUAAAUAUCAUCCUCCUGUAGAAAGCAACAUAGCUAAAACCAAUCUAGUUGAGGAGAAAGUCAUUGCUUUUAGUGAUCAUGUUGUUCCUUGUGCUUACACUGAGAAACCACCAUACCCUCCUAGGAUAAAGGAUUAUUCUAAAGCUCCGAUGAUACGUAGGGGUUACAUUAGACCACUUGCACCCCCUGAGGAGAUUAGAGUUGAACCUAGUGUUGCUAUUAUCAAAGAUCUCUUAGCCGAAGACAUAAAUGGGCAUGUUAUCAAAUUCUGCGAGGACUCUGCUAGAAUUGCUAAACCUCACGCGAAAGACAAACACGGACCUGUAGUUGGCCUGCCCGUUGUUUCUGUUAAGAUAGGAGAUCACUGUUACCAUGGUUUAUGUGAUAUGGGAGCUAGUGUUAGUGCAAUACCCCGUUCUAUAUAUGAUGAAAUCAAAGAUGAGAUUGCACCUGCUGAGUUAGAACCCAUUGAUGUUACUAUUACGCUAGCUAAUAGAGACACUAUCUGCCCUCUGGGAAUUGUGAGAGACGUAGAAGUCCUAUGUGGUAAGACGAAGUAUCCUACUGAUUUCCUCGUCCUUGGUACUGCACAAGAUAGCUUUUGUCCCAUCAUAUUUGGUAGACCCUUUCUCAACACUAUCAACGCUCACAUUGAUUGCAUUAAGCAGACUGUCACAGUUAGUUUCGAGGGUGUGUCUCAUGAAUUUAACUUCUCCAAGUUUGGAAGACAACCCCAUGAAAGAGAGUCGUCCGGUAGGGAUGAAAUCAUUGCUCUUGCCUCUAUUGCCGUACCUCCUACAGAUCCUUUAGAGCAAUAUCUGCUUGAGCAUGAAAAUGAUAUGCAUAUGGAGGAGAGAGAUGAGAUAGAUAAAAUUGUCUUAGAACAAUAUCCUAUUCUCAAGAAUAAUCUGCCUGUUGAACUGCUUGGGGAUCCUCCCCCACCAAAGGGUGAUCCUGUGUUCGAGCUUAAAUAGUUGCCUGAUACUCUUAAGUAUGCCUAUCUUGAUGAGAAGGAGAUAUAUCCUGUCAUUAUUAGUGCUCUCCUCUCAGAGCAUGAAGAGAAGAAGUUACUAAGAACUCUGAGGAAGCACCGCGCUGCUAUUGGAUAUACUCUUGAUGAUCUUAAGGGUAUUAGUCCUACUCUAUGUCAGCACAAGAUUAAAACCGAUCCUGACUUUAAACCAGUUGCUGAUCAUCAAAGGAGAUUAAAUCCUAAGAUGAAAGAGGUCGUUAGAAAAGAAAUAUUAAAGCUUCUGGAAGCAGGAAUCAUUUAUCCUGUUGCUCAUAGUGAUUGGGUAAGUCCAGUACAUUGCGUACCUAAGAAGGGAGGUAUCACCGUCGUUCCUAAUGAUAAGGAUGAACUAAUCCCACAAAGGAUUAUUACCAGCUAUAGAAUGGUGAUAGACUUCCGGAAACUGAACAAGGCAACCAGGGAAGAUCAUUAUCCUUUGUCGUUCAUCAACCAAAUGCUAGAAAGGCUAUCAAAGCACACACACUUCUGCUUUCUAGACGGUUAUUCAGGUUUCUCGCAAAUACCAGUUGCACAAUCUGAUCAAGAGAAAACCACUUUCACCUGCCCUUUCAGUACCUUUGCCUAUAGACGUAUGCCUUUUGGCUUAUGUAAUGCACCCGCCACCUUCCAAAGAUGUAUGAUGGCUAUAUUCUCUGACUUUUGUGAAAAGAUCGUCGAGGUUUUCAUGGAUGACUUCUCUGUUUAUGGGUCCUCCUUUGAUGAUUGCCUCAGCAACCUUGAUCGAGUCUUACAGAGAUGCGAAGAAACCAACCUCGUCUUGAAUUGGGAGAAGUGCCACUUUAUGGUUAAUGAAGGUAUCGUCUUAGGACACAAAAUUUCUGAGAGAGGCAUUGAAGUUGAUAAGGCUAAGGUUGAUGCAAUUGAGAAAAUGCCUUGCCCCACAGAUAUAAGAGGUAUACGAAGUUUCCUAGGUCAUGCUUGUUUCUAUAGAAGGUUCAUUAAAGACUUCUCUAAGAUUUCUAGGCCUCUUACCAACCUCUUGCAGAAGGAUGUUCCUUUUGUUUUUUAUGAGGAUUGUGAGGAAGCUUUCGAAAUACUUAAGAAGGCUUUGAUAACCGCACCUAUUGUUCAACCACCUGACUGGAACUUGACCUUGGAAAUCAUGUGUGACGCUAGUGAUUAUGCUGUUGGUACUGUUCUAGGACAAAGAGUUGAUAAGAAGUUGAAUGUCAUUCACUACCCUAGUAAAACUCUAGACAGUGCCCAAAGAAACUAUGCCACUACGGAGAAGGAAUUUUUAGCAGUCGUGUUUGCAUGCGAAAAGUUGAGAUCUUAUAUAGUUGACUCCAAAGUUACUAUUCACUCUGAUCAUGCUGCUAUUAAGUACCUUAUGGAGAAGAAGGACGCUAAGCCUAGGCUUAUCAGAUGGGUUCUCCUGCUACAGGAAUUUGAUUUGCACGUCGUUGACCGAAAGGGUGCUGAUAACCCUGUAGCAGAUAACUUGUCUAGGCUAGAGAAUGUCCUUGAUGACCCACUACCUAUUGAUGACAACUUUCUUGAUGAGCAAUUAAAUGUCAUCCGCACUUCACUUAGUGCAUCGUGGUAUGCCGAUUAUGCAAACUAUAUCGUAGCCAAAUACAUACCACCCAGUUUCACCUAUCAGCAAAAGCAGAAAUUCUUCUUUGAUUUGAGACACUACUUUUGGGAUGAUCAUCACCUUUAUAAGGAAGGAGUAGAUGGUGUUAUUAGACGUUGUGUGCCUGAACAUGAACAGGGACAAAUCCUGCAGAUGUGUCAUUUCGAAGCCUACGAAGGACACCAUGCUGGAGAUAGAACUGCCCAUAAGGUAUUGCAAACAGGUUUCUAUUGGCCCACUCUCUUCAAGGAUGCUCGUAGGUUUGUCUUGUCUUGUGACGAAUGCCAAAGAAUAGGGAACAUCAGUAAGCGUCGGGAAAUGCCUAUGAACUACUCACUUGUCAUUGAACCAUUUGAUGUCUGGGGCUUUGAUUAUAUGGGACCCUUCCCGAGUUCCAAUGGGUACACUCACAUCUUAGUUGCUGUGUAUUACGUUACUAAGUGGGUAGAAGCUAUCCCCACUAAAAAUGCUGAUCACCACACCUCUAUUAAGAUGCUUAAAGAAGUCAUUUUCCCAAGAUUUGGAGUCCCUAGGUACUUGAUGACUGAUGGCGGUUCACACUUCAUUCAUGGUGUUUUCCACAAGAUGAUAGCUAAGUAUGAUGUCAACCAUAGAGUUGCAUCUCCUUAUAAUCCUUAGUCUAGUGGUCAAGUUGAGUUGAGUAAUAGGGAGAUCAAGUUGAUCUUACAAAAGAUCGUCAACAGAUCUCGAAAGAACUGGUCUAGCAAACUCGACGAUGCACUAUGGGCUUAUAGGACUGCUUAUAAGAAUCCCAUGGGCAUGUCACCGUAUAAAAUGGUUUACGGUAAGGCCUGUCAUUUACCUCUUGAGCUGGAACACAAAGCUUAUUGGGCAAUCAAAGAGCUCAAGUUUGAUUUCAAACUUGCCGGUGAGAAGCGGUUGUUUGAUAUCAUCUCGUUAGAUGAAUGGAGAACCCAGGCAUAUGAGAAUGCCAAGUUGUUCAAGGAAAAGGUUAAGAGAUGGCACGACAAACGAAUACAGAAACGAGAGUUCAAUGUAGGUGAUUAUGUCUUGCUAUACAAUUCUCGUUUGAGAUUCUUUGCAGGCAAGCUUCUCUCUAAAUGGGAAGGUCCCUAUGUUAUCGAGGAAGUAUAUCGUUCCGGUGCCAUCAAAAUCGAUAACACGGAAGGAAAUUUUCCUAGAGUGGUAAAUGGGCAAAGAAUCAAGCAUUACAUCUCUGGUACUCCCAUAAAUGUUGAGACCAAUAUCAUCAAUGUCAUAACUCCAUAGGAGUACAUAAGGGAUGUUUAUCAGCAUGUUUCAGACCUUGAAAACGAAGAUGUAUCUGUUUUGGUAAGAAAUUGGACUCCGAUACUUUUCCAAUAGGAAAUUUCUUCCGUUUUGGAAUUUUUGGAAAAUUAGAAAAAUAAAAAGCAGUCUGUAGAGCGAACGAGGCGGGCACAAGCCCUGCCACCGCCCCUACCCCCUGGUGGCGGAGGGCAAGCUUGUGGGCACCUCAUGUGCCUCCCGGACUCCGUUUUCUUGCGGAGGACUCCUUCUGGCCCAGAAAAAAAUCAAUAUAUAGUCGCCCGAAGGUUUUGAUCUCCGUAUCGCGUAGUUUUCCUCUGUUUUCGUUUAAAGCUUGUUGUCUGCCGCAUAUUUAGAGCAAAGAUGUCUCAGGAAUCUGUUGGGGAGAAUGAUCUUCACCAAGUUCAUGAGGAAGUAGAUGCUGAUAUGAAAAGAGUAGAAGUCACGGAAUCUAGGGACCAAGCUACGGAGAAAACCCAAGCUAGGGAGGAAGUUCAACCUAUGUUCAACAUUGAAGACAUGGAAGGAGUAUAUUUUCUCCAACCCUUCCUCCACGUGCUGUCUCCAUCCUUGAUUGAACUCUUGAGGUUUUGCGAAACAACUCGUGCUCGCAAUAUUUCUCUUUCUCGUGAAGUUGUUUUGCUGGAAAACCAUGUCACAUAUCUCAAAGGUAUAAAUCAAAGAUUGAUAGCUCUCUUGGAAUCAAAGGCGAUAACUCCACCACCAUCACCACUAAAGGAAGACAACUAAGCAUUGGUAUGGGCAAUCCCCUUGGCUUCUGCCAAGCUUGGGGGAGUUGCCCUGGUAUCGUAUCACCUUUAUAUCUUUUGCUUUUACCUUUGUUUUAGUUCUUUCCUUUUCAGUUUUUAUUUCUUCUCUUAGAGGAAUAAGUCUUGUGUUUUUAGUUUGAGUCUUUUGCUUUUGUCUCUCUUCCGAUGUAUUUGAGCUCGCGAGCUAUAUAAUAAAGAGUAUCUUAGUCAAGGGCUUUGCUUUGUGCCUUGAUCAAAAGUAUGAAAAGAACGAUAGCAUGAAAGAUCAUGAGACGAUCUUAUGGAAAGUGAUAACUUCACUUGUGACACGUAUGAUGAUUGAAACUUGUUGAGAAUAAAUCAACAUAUACCUUAGUCAUUGUUGUAAUUAAUAAGAAGUAAUAACGAAAGAGAGGUUCACAUAUAAUAUAUCAUCUUAGACACUUUUUUACAAUUGUGAGCACUCACCAAACUAUUACAUGCUUAGGAGCAGAUGUUGGACAAGGAAGACAACAUAAUGAAUUGUGUUUGCUUGGUUCCAAACAAUGUUAUAUGAUUAGAGAUCCCUUAGCAUGUGACGAUUGCUUCCACCUUAUAUUAGCCAAAACUCCCGCACCAAGUAGAGAUACUACUUGUGCAUCCAUAAACCUCCAACCAGUUUUGCCAUGAGAGUCCACCAUGCCUACCUAUGGAUUGAAUAAGAUCCUUCAAGUAAGUUGUCAUCGGUGCAAGCAAUAAAAAUUGCUCUCUAAUAUGUAUGAUCUAUUAGUGUGUGGAAAAUAAGCUUUGUACGGACCUGUGAUGAGGAAGACAUAAAAGCAAUAGACUGCAUAAUAAAGUUCUUUAUCACAGGAGGCAAUAUAAAGUGACGUUCCUCCGCACUAAGAGGACACGCAUUCAAACCUCAAAAGCGCAUGACAACCUCUGCUUCCCUCUGCGAAGGGCCUAUCUUGUACCUUUACUUUUUGCCCUUGUAAGAGUCAUGGUGAUCAUCACCAAUUCCCUAUUUUUGCCUUUGUCUUGGCUACCGUCACAUGUUUGGGAAAGAUCUAUACUCAUAUAUCAACUUGGAGUUGAGUACUUAUGCUUUAUUGUUGUUGACUUUACCCUUGAGGUAAACCGUUGGGAGGCAAAACUAUAAGCCCCUAUCUUCCUCUGUGUCCAGCUGAAACUUUGACACCAUGAGUACCACGUGAGUUGUAACAAUUGUGGAAAACAAAAGAGAUGAUUGAGUAUGUGGGUUUGCCUUACAAGCUCUUAUUUGAUUCUUUCUGAUGUUGCGAUAAAUUGCAAUUGCUUCAAUGACUAUGGACUAUUGUUGGUGACUUCUCGGUAAGGUUUUUGCUUCAUGCUUUGCUUUGUGAAGGAAUUGUUACUUUCACAUAAGAAUCUUUAUGAUGUAUCGCUGUGUGAUCAUGAUGCCCUCAUGUCCGUAUUAUGUUUUAUCGACACCUUCGACCCUCAACAUGUCGACAUGUUUAGGGAACUUGGUUUUCGCUUGAGGACAAGUGAUGUCUAAGCUUGGGGGAGUUGAUACGUCCAUUUUGCAUCAUGCUUUCAUGUUGAUAUUUAUUGCUUUUUGGGCUGUUAUAUUACUUGUGGUACCAUAUUUAUGCCUUUUCUCUCUUAUUUUGCAAGGUUUAUUUGAAGAGGGAGAAUUCAGGCAGCUGGAAUUCUGGACUGGAAAAGGAGCAAAUCCUAGUCCACUAUUCUGCACAUCUCCAAAUGCCCUGAAAAGUUACGUGGAUUUUUUUGGGAUUAUAUAAAAAAUACUGGGCGAAAGAACUACGGGAGGGGGGCUGCCAGGGCGCCACAAGCCCUGACACCGCCACCCCCUGGUGGCGGAGUGGGGGCUUGUGGGCUCCCUGACGGCCCACUAGCCCCCCUCUUUUGCUAUAUGAAGCGUCCUGGUCCAUAAAAAAUCAAUCGGGAGCUUUUUCGUGGUUUCGCCGCCGCCACGAGGCGGAACUUGAGCAGAUCCAAUCUAGAGCUCCGGCAGGACGAUCCUGCUGGGGAAACUUCCCUCCCGGAGGGGGAAAUCAUCACCAUCGUCAUCACCAACACUCCUCUCGUCGGAGGGGAGGCAUCUUCAUCAACAUCUUCAUCAGCACCAUCUCCUCUCCAAUCCCUAGUUCAUCUCUUGUAACCAAUCUUCGUCUCGCUACUCCGAUUGGUACUUGUAAGGUUGCUAGUAGUGUUGAUUACUCUUUGUAGUUGAUGCUAGUUGGAUUACUUGGUGGAAGAGUUUACGUUCGGAUCCUUGAUGCUAUUCAUUACACCUUUGAUGAUGAUUAUGAUUAUGUUUUGUGAGUAGUUACUUUUGUUCCUGAGGACAUGGGAUAAGUCAUGUUAAUAAUAGUCAUGUGAAUUUGAUAUUCGUUCGGUAUUUUGAUAUGCUGUAUGUUGUCUUUUCCUCUAGUGGUGUUAUGUGAACGUCGACUACAUAACACUUCACCAUAUUUGGGCCUAGAGGAAAGCAUUAGGAAGUAGUAAGUAGAUGAUGGGUUGCUGGAGUGACAGAAGCCUAAACCCCAGUCUAUGCGUUGCUUCGUGAGGGGCUGAUUUGGAUCCACUAGUUUAAUGCUAUGGUUAGACUUUGUCUUAAUUCUUCUUUUGUAGUUGCAGAUGCUUGCGAGAGAGGUUAAUCAUAAGUGGGAUGCUUGUACAAGUAAGGGCAGUACCCAAGCGCCGGUCCACCCACAUAUCAAACUAUCAAAGUAACGAACGCGAAUCAUAUGAACAUGAUGAAACUAGCAUGACAGAAAUUCCCGUGUGUCCUCGGGAGCGUUUUUCCUCCUAUAAGACUUUGUUCAGGCUUGUCCCUUGCUACAAAAGGGAUUGGGCCACUUGCUGCACCGUUGCUACUACUUCUUACUUGAUACUUUUUGCUCGCUACGUUUCACCUCACUACACCAUCAGUUGUUACCUCUACUUUCAGUGCUUGCAGUUAUUACCUUGACGAAAUCCGCUUAUCAGAGCCUUUUACUCCUCGUUGGGUUCGACACUCUUACUUAUCGAAAGGACUAUGAUUGAUCCCCUAUAUUUGUGGGUCAUCAAGUAUCUAGGUGACAUUAGGGUCUUGGUUGAUAUGUAUCUUAAGGUGUUAUUCUAGUACGAACUCUUGAAUAGAUCGAUCAGAAAGAAUAACUUUGUGGUGGUUUCGUACCCGACAAUAAUCUCUUCGUUUGUUCUCUGCUAUUAGUGACUUUGGAGUGACUCUUUGUUGCAUGUUGAGGGCUAGUUAUAUGAUCCAAUUAUGUUAUCAUUGUUGAGAGAACUUCACUAGUGAAAGUAUGAACCCUAGGCCUUGUUUCCACGCAUUGCAAUACCAUUCGUGCUCACUUUUUUUACUAGUUACCUUGCUGUUUUUGUAAUUUCAGAUUACAAAAACCUAUAUCUACCAUCCAUAUUGCACUUGUUUCACCAUCUCUUCGCCGAACUAGUGCACCUAUAAAACUUACCAUUGUAUUGGGUGUGUUGGGGACACAAGAGAGUCUUUGUUGUUUGGUUGCAGGGUUGCUUGAGAGAGACCAUAUUCAUCCUACGGCUCCCGCGGAUUGAUAAACCUUAGGUCACCCACUUGAGGGAAAAUUGCUACUGUUCUACAAACCUCUACACUUGGAGGCCCAACAACGUCUACAAGGAGAAGGUUGCGUAGUAGACAUCAAGCAUUUUUCUGGCGCCGUUGUCGGGGAGGCUAGGUAAGAGGCACUAACAUCCCGUCAACGAAGCAUUUUCGGGGAGGUUAGCGCUUGAAGGUAUAUCUUUAGAUCUUGCAAUCGAAUCUUUUUGUUUCUUGUUCUUUAGCUAGAAAACUACCAAAAAAUGGAAUUGAGGAUGCCUCAUAUGCUCCAUCUUUUUAAUGUCUUUCGUGAGCAUGAUGGGAAGGAAAAUUGUGCUCAAGUGCUGAAAUAAGAAUUACAUAGAAUGCUUGGCAUAGAAUAUGUGAAUGAUGAGCAUGAUUGCAAUGUUGUUAGCACAAAUUCUUUGAAUACCCAUGAUGCUAAUGAUAUGCAAAGCCACAAGCUUGGGGAUGCUAUAUUUGAGGAAGAUGAUCUUUUUAGUUCUUCCACUUUGAAUGAUCAAAAUCAUUUUGAUGAAAGCAUGCCCCCUAUCUAUGAUGAUUAUUGUGAGGAUACUUAUGCUUUGAAGAAGAGGGAUGAUAAAUAUUGUCAUACUUUCGAAAACCCCUUUGCUAAACCUUGCUUUUUCGUUGUGGACACAAUUUGUAGUGCUCAAGUCUUUUACGAUACUCCCACUACUAUUCUUGAGAAUAGAUUUCNNNNNNNNNNNNNNNNNNNNNNNNNNNNNNNNNNNNNNNNNNNNNNNNNNNNNNNNNNNNNNNNNNNNNNNNNNNNNNNNNNNNNNNNNNNNNNNNNNNNGCUAUCUUGCUUAAGGGUUAGGGAUGUGACAACUUUGGAGUUGGAGGGCUUCUUCAUCAUCAUCAUCGUCCCUCCAAUGACUCGUGAGUAGUUCACUUCAGACCUACGGGUCCGUAGUUAGUAGCUAGAUGUCUUCUUCUCUCUCUUGGAUCUUCAAUAGAAAGUUCUCCAUGAUCUUCAUGGAGAUCUAUCCGAUGUAAUCUUCUUUGGCUGUGUGUUUGUCGAGAUCCGAUGAAUUGUGGAUUUGUGAUCAGAUUAUCUAUGAUAUAUAUUUGAGUCUUUGCUGAUUUCUUAUAUGCAUGAUUUGAUAUCCUUGUAAGUCUCUCUGAGUCUUGGGUUUUGUUUGGCCAACUAGAUCUAUGAUUCUUGCAAUGGGAGAAGUGCUUGGUUUUGGGUUCUACCAUGUGGUGACCUUUCCCAGUGACAGUAGGGGCAGCAAGGCACACAUCAAGUAGUUGCCAUCAAAGGUAAAAAGAUGGCGGAUUUAUCAUUGGUUUGAGAUUAUCCCUCUACAUCAUGUCAUCUUGCUUAAGGCGUUACUCUGUUCUUAUGGACUUAAUACACUAGAUGCAUGAUGGAUAGCGGUCGACGUGUGGAGUAAUAGUAGUAGAUGCAGAAAGUAUCGGUCUACUUGUUUCGGACGUGAUGCCAAUAGAAACAAUCAUUGCAUAGAUAUCGUCACGACUUUGCGCGGUUCUAUCAAUUGCUCGACAGUAAUUUGUUCACCCACCGUCUACUUGCUUUCAUGAGANNNNNNNNNNNNNNNNNNNNNNNNNNNNNNNNNNNNNNNNNNNNNNNNNNNNNNNNNNNNNNNNNNNNNNNNNNNNNNNNNNNNNNNNNNNNNNNNNNNNGACUAGGUAUUCGAACCCCAUACAUAUCAAGUAUGACACACGUACGCAUGGCAUACCGAUAUGUAUAGAUUCAUCGAUGGCAUCACAACAUAACCAUAAACAUACAACCUUUAUUCAAGAGGCUCGGAAGAGCCACACACAUAAUAUUACACAUUAAGGUCUCUCGACCCAUAAUAGCAGUCAUACAAAUACAAGCCAGCGGAAGAGUUAUAGACUGUCUGGGUACAGACAAUGCAACUAGAAGGCACAUGGCCUGACUAUACUACAGAGCCGACAUAGGGCCAGAUCGUAGCUGGGACACCAGCUACUCGUCGUCGUCGAUGUCUACGAAGAACCCUCCAUUAGGGUCAUUAGCAACCUCUGCAACAUUUAUUAAGCAAACAUGAGUACGAAGGUACUCAGCAAGACUUUAGGAGAACUAACUACUCAUGCAAGGUAUCAAAAGGUAUUGUGGGGUUUCAUGCGGGAAGCCAGCAUUUGACUCGUGGCUAGACAACUUGCAUUUUGAAAUUAGUUUUGACAACUUGAUUUCUCGCACACGAGUCCACUAACACCACAGCAAUACACUAUCGUGGAAUCAUUCCGUCUCCAUACGGAAAUGCCGUCCACGACACUCACGCUUAUCUUGCCCAUUUUAUGAGUAGCCAUUGAAGUUAUCUAUGAACAACAUAUGUCUCCAAGUAGUCCAUAUCCGCGGACGCGGCUAUUCGAAUAGAUCAUAACCCUGCAGGGGUGUACUUCGUCACACACGCUCUCGCCACUUAUCGCUAUGUGCACGUCAUGCACCUCGGCAACCUUCAAGCGGAAGCCCAGCGAGGGAGUCGGCCACGACCGUUAACCACACCAGUACCUAGUCCAGGUUUAUCGCCUAUCUGAGAGUAACCCGUACGAAAGUCCGGCCGGGGAUUCCGCCACGGCCUCAAACGAUGUGCGCAGGGUUCCCAAGCCCACCAUCCAGGUGCCACUUGGUACACCGUGCCACUGCCUACCGCAUCACGGCCCACCUCUCAGGUCAGCACCAUGCACGGCCUCCAGCAUUACUAUAAACACCAGAAACUACUUGCAACUCCUGGACCGAGUACUACGCGAUUAAUAGGCCGAGCGGGGUCAUAUUUCAGGGCCCAGCAUGUGGUAGUAUCUAGUCUUGGAUUACAUACACGGAACUCAGUUCCUAAGGACGGUUCCAAUGAAACAACCCGCCAUGUACUCCUACACAGCCUUUCACCGGCACCUUUACCAAAUCAAGUUCAACACACAACCUUUGCUCACCGAAAACAUUCCACAUUUCUGUUCAUCUCCCAGAUGACAGACCAUACACAACUCUAAGCAUAUCAUGCAUAGCAGGAUAAGGCACAUCAUAGCUCAAGCAACUACCAGGUAUGCUAGGUUGCAAGGUUCGGCUAUUUACUGUGACAAGGUUAGGUCAUGCAAAGGAAGUGGGUUCAACUAUCGUGGCAAAAGCAGUUGUAGCAUUUGAUCCUAAUGCAAUAAAUAAAUGCAGGAGCAAGAACAUGGGAAUUAUCGGGAUGAUCAAAAGGGUUGCUUGCCUUGUUGCUCAGAGGAGGAACGAUAUCCGUCAGACGGAUAUUCGGUGGAAUCCGGGGGUGCGGAGCCUACCGAAAUGAAUGGCAACAUUCAAUAACAAUCAUAUGCACUCAAAAUGAUGCAUGCGCAUGGCAUGAGAAUGCAGGGUGAUAAGUUAUUAGUUUCAACAUGUAAUAGGUUUAGAGUUGAUUUGAAUCACAUUCGAAUAGCAAUUCAAACGGGGUAUUCUCGGAUACCGGUUUAAUUGAUUCGACCUGAUGCUCAGAUCAACUUGAUGUUAACAUGCAUGAAAUGUCAUGUUAUGGUACUGAUUUGUAAUUAGGGCAGUGUGUGAUCAUUGCAUAUAUAAUGAAAUUUGAAUNNNNNNNNNNNNNNNNNNNNNNNNNNNNNNNNNNNNNNNNNNNNNNNNNNNNNNNNNNNNNNNNNNNNNNNNNNNNNNNNNNNNNNNNNNNNNNNNNNNNUGAGUACCUUCGUACUCAUGUUUGCUUAAUAAAUGUUGCAGAGGUUGCUAAUGACCCUAAUGGAGGGUUCUUCGUAGACAUCGACGACGACGAGUAGCUGGUGUCCCAGCUACGAUCUGGCCCUAAGUCGGCUCUGUAGUAUAGUCACGCCAUGUGCCUUCUAGUUGCAAUGUCUGUACCCAGACAGUCUAUAACUCUUCCGCUGGCUUGUAUUUGUAUGACUGCUAUUAUGGGUCGAGAGACCUUAAUGUGUAAUAUUAUGUGUGUGGCUCUUCCGAGCCUCUUGAAUAAAGGUUGUAUGUUUAUGGUUAUGUUGUGAUGCCAUCGAUGAAUCUAUACAUAUCGGUAUGCCAUGCGUACGUGUGUCAUACUUGAUAUGUAUGGGGUUCGAAUACCUAGUCGUGAACUUUAGUAGCACUCCUUACAAGGAAAUGCCCCUUUGUGAUCCAACGAGCCUUGGUAGUCCGCUACUGCUCCGGACACAUUGGUUGACCGGCAUGUGUCCUUCUUAGCUGUUGUGUCCGUCCUCUUUGGGGAAAUGUCACGCGACGUAAUGGAGUCCUUGUAGCUUGCUACGACUCGUCUACGUUCGCUGAUGACCGACACCUGCUUUGUUGGGUCAUGUAUGCCCGUCCUUGUGCGGAACUGCCACUUUGAUUUAUGACUAGACAUGUCGAUGCGGGUUCUUUGACAUUGGAUUGCUAGCGACACCUAUCGCAUACGUGAGUCAAAAGACGCAAACGGUCCCGGCUAAGGUAAAGCUGCAGCCGUGGAGUUAACCGUGCGUGAGACCACAAAGAGAUGCGAUGUGUUACAGGCUGGAUUCCUAUGGCUUAGGAUCGGGGUCCCGACAGCGUUGGUAUCAGAGCCUGACUGACUGUAGGAUUACUAAGCCAAACUGGUCAAAGUUGAGUCUAGAAUUGCUUUAGUUAUAUAUAAGGGAAUUGUUUGUGGAAGGGAACGUAAGACUCUUGUUCUCUUCUCAAGUUAUUCUAUUCUGGUCAUCCUCGUCUCUUCUGCGGGAAUUAAGGACUAGGUUACUCAUCUUCUCCUAGGCUCGUGUUUCCAAUCGGUAGCUUAUAGGACUACGGGUCGAGAGAUAUUGGGUUUCUUUUAUUCCUAGGAAGCAGGAAGUAAGUUUGGUGACCAGAGAGUUGAACUUGAUAGUUGAGUGGUUACGCUAUUCCAUUUUGGGUUGUCUCAAAUUUGUUUUGAGCAUUUACAGCCGUUAUGCUGCCCAAUUUUGCAUUCAGAGCUCUAAUGCUUUUGCAUUACUCUCUAUUUACAGAUGUCUGGCCGUCCUUCCCGUCAGGUGGUACGUCUGACCAGGUGCAUUGAUGUACCGGGUCAUACGGCCAUGCUGGUCAGGGUGAUGUCGGUGUGCGGUUACCGCUGGUACCCCGAGUACACAGUGGAGGAACAGUACCGGGACUUCAACCAGAGCCAGUACAUCUGCACUGUUAGGGUAUUCCUAGACUACCCUGGAGCGGAGAAGCCAAUCCAUUGGUCCUAUGGGUUGGGGGUCACCGUUGACAUGGGAGUACAAGAUGCUGCCUAUUCAAUGCUGACUAUUAUGAGAGCGAGACAUGCACUGCUGCAGAAUUCAGAGUUCUGCUAUGUUCCGGCCUCUCAGUCUGGUGAAGAGGGAUACCUCAGUGGACUCUAUUUUGAUUCUUCUAUGGAGGAUCCACUUCUGCAGACCACUGUUGAGAUGCUAGAGAACAGAGACAACGAUGCUCGUGCUCUCCGCAUGGAGCUUUAUGCUACUCGUGCCCGUCUGUGGACAGCUUUGACGCAGCUAGCACCGGUAGUCCAGACAGGGUAUGGAGAGAUGGAGAUGCUGAACCCUGUUAGGACCCAUCUUCCGGCUCACGUUGACUGGCCAGCUAUAGGAGGAGUCACACCUCUUCGGAGACCCCUCUUACCACCAGUCAGGGGACCAAGGCCACAUCCGUGUCCUUAUGGAUCCCAGGGGUCUCAGGCUAGAGUGUUUCCUGAUCCGCAGGUUGAGCUUCCAGGUCAUGGAGGUAAUCUCUAUGAGAUGUUCUAUGCGGAUGCCUGAGCUGUGAGCGGAAGGAUAGUAUGGUAGUAGUCGUACGUUCAAAGUCCUGCGUGACUUGUGAAGUAUGGUAGUAAUGUGAAAUGAAUUCCAGAGGCCUAGAUAAAUAAUGUAUAGGAAGCUUGUAAGCCUCUGAUGAGUAGUUCCACCAUUUCAGUAGUUUGCUCUUCGGGUAAGUUUGUACUGAACUAUGUAAGGGUGUGUAUGAACCAUGGUGUAUAUAUAGCAGUUGCUUGUUACCAUGUUGUUCGGAUAUUCAUUUCCGCAUUCCGUGUGUUCAGUACAUUCUUAAUCCAUAGCUAGUAUUGAUAUGAUAUUGGUCUAAGCUAUGAGUUUGUUUGUCAGGAUGGUGUUCACCAGGUUGAACCGUGCCCCUGCUCAUGAGCAAGGUGAGGGUAGUCAAGCGUCGCAGGAAGACCUGCCUCACCCACCUUCUCUGGUAGAAGUGAUGCUUGAGGCAGAAAGAAACAAAAGGGAGACCAACCGACUGCUAGAGCGUAUUGAGCAGAAUACGGNNNNNNNNNNNNNNNNNNNNNNNNNNNNNNNNNNNNNNNNNNNNNNNNNNNNNNNNNNNNNNNNNNNNNNNNNNNNNNNNNNNNNNNNNNNNNNNNNNNNUGCCCCAACGGCUCCCCCACGCGGCGCGCCCCGUGGGCAUCGUCGUACUGCUCCAGCUGUGGAGCCGCCCGCACCGGCCUCCCCCGCAACGGGGGAAUCGCCGAUCCCGGAGGCUUCUCCGCUAGUUGCCCCGGGCGUCUCGGCCCCGUCUCCUGCACCACCGGGCCCCGCUCCUGUCGGCACGACGCCUCCACCACCUGCUGCCCCCGUGCCCAGUACGGGGCCGGCCUCUCCCUCAACUGCCCCACCUGCUGCCCCCGUACACUUCGGAGUGCUUACCCGUGCGCGCGCGGGUGUCCAUCGACCCAGCCAGAGGUACUCCUCCAACGAGUACGUCUGCACUGCCACCACGACGGCUCCUUCGCCGCUCCCUGCGUCCGUCCACUCGGCGCUCCGGGACCCUCACUGGCGCGCCGUCAUGCAAGACGAGUACGACGCGCUACUGAGGAAUCGCACCUGGCAGCUGGGUCGUUCGCGGCUUCCGGCAACGGGCUGGUCUCGACUUGUGACAGCCCAAGUGCAAUCUCCCCUCCCCUUUUGUAUCCUCCUUGUAUGGCAACCUUGGCAUGUUGGUGUGAUGUGGGGUGAGCCUAACUUUGUGUCAUCAUUUCAUGUGCAUCAUGCCUUCUUGCAUUGCAUUCUUUCCCUUUUGUUGUGGUUGUGUUGAUGUGGGUGUCCUUGUUGUGAUGUGCAAGUGUUGUGUUGAUGUCCUUAGUGAUUGUUUAGGUGUGGGGGCAACAAGUGCAUGUCAAAACCCACAUGUUGCUCCAUAAGGAGAAAACCCUUCUCUCUCUAUGUUAAUUUGUGGCAGGUUUAAAAGGCUUUGUUUCUCCAUUUAAAAAAAUGUUCAUCUUUCCCUAAAAAAAAUCCUUUUCAUUUUGUGGAGGCAACCCCUCUGGUUUCUACUUUACUUUCCUUCUUAUCUUAUUUAAAAAAUCAAAGCCCAUUUAAAUUAGAUGAAUAUAAUUUUGGACUUCUAAAAAUGUUCCACUUAUUUUUAUAAACAGUGGCAACANNNNNNNNNNNNNNNNNNNNNNNNNNNNNNNNNNNNNNNNNNNNNNNNNNNNNNNNNNNNNNNNNNNNNNNNNNNNNNNNNNNNNNNNNNNNNNNNNNNNGGGGUUGUCAAUCCCUUAUAGAUUGUUUGCCAAGUGAGAACUGAAAGCAACAAAGUAACAAAUCAAAGUAAAAGCGGAGGUGUAAACGAUGGAUGUGAAUAGACCCGGGGGCCGUAGUGUUUACUAGUGGCUUCUCUCAUGAAAGCAAGUAGACGGUGGGUGAACAAAUUACUGUCGAGCAAUUGAUAGAACCGCGCAAAGUCGUGACGAUAUCUAUGCAAUGAUUGUUUCUAUUGGCAUCACGUCCGAAACAAGUAGACCGAUACUUUCUGCAUCUACUACUAUUACUCCACACGUCGACCGCUAUCCAACAUGCAUCUAGUGUAUUAAGUCCAUAAGAACAGAGUAACGCCUUAAGCAAGAUGACAUGAUGUAGAGGGAUAAUCUCAAACCAAUGAUAAAUCCGCCAUCUUUUUACCUUUGAUGGCAACUACUUGAUGUGUGCCUUGCUGCCCCUACUGUCACUGGGAAAGGUCACCACAUGGUAGAACCCAAAACCANNNNNNNNNNNNNNNNNNNNNNNNNNNNNNNNNNNNNNNNNNNNNNNNNNNNNNNNNNNNNNNNNNNNNNNNNNNNNNNNNNNNNNNNNNNNNNNNNNNNUCACGAGUCAUUGGAGGGACGAUGAUGAUGAUGAAGAAGCCCUCCAACUCCAAAGUUGUCACAUCCCUAACCCUUAAGCAAGAUAGCAUUGUGCUCAUGUCUUCUUUGCAUUUGCAUCUAAGAAGUUUCAACAAAAACAACAAAGUGGCAAAGGAAAAACUCAAAACCCUAGCCACCAUUUCAAAUUAAAGGAAAUCUCAAACUAGUUCAAAAUCAAUGAACCCAAAAUGGCCUCAAGAAAUGUUCAAACUUUCUGAUAAAUCAUGAAAGUAAAUGAGCAUUGGAGAAAACUAUUUUCUUGACACUUUAAGCUUUUUAAAUUAAUGCAAAAGCCACUGGUUUCAAAUUUAAAAUUUGAAAUCAGAAACUAUAAUUUUCCAAAAAUGUUGAAAACCUUGGAAAUGGUUGGGGAUAUUAUAACAAAUAUUUCAGGAGGUCUAAAAUAGUUUUUACUUUUUGUUUUGGAGCUGAAUUAAUUAGCAAAACAAUAAUUAGCAAAACAGAAAAACAAAAACAGAAAAAUAAGGAAAAACCUUACCUGUCGCCUAAGCCUGGCCCGGCCCAUCCCUGGCUCGUCCCCUCCCUCGCACCAGUAGGCAGCAGGAGGUGGUCGCCGCCCCCUCCGGCGCGGCCACGCACCUGCGUGCCUGCCUGGCCGCCGCCUCGCGCUGGCGACGACGGGGAUAAGCUCCCCAGAGCCUCCCCUAUCCAUUCCCCGCCUCGGUUCUCUUCCUCCACCCGGAUCUCUUCCUCCUCCCCGCUGCCGCCAUUGGAGCCGAGCUCGAGCUCGAGCUGCCCGUGCCCCUAGCCUUAGGAUCCCCUCCCAGAGCAUGCCAUUAGCGCCGCCUCGUCGCCCUGGUCAUCUCUACAGAAGCCGAAGCUUCCUCGAGCCCUGCAACGCCCGCAACGCCGUCGUCUUCCACCUCCGGCCGCCGGACCUCUCCCGUCGAUUCGCUUCCUCCGGCGCAUCCCCGAGCCCCUCUUCAGCACCAUCGGAACGGCCGUGAGCUCGUCGUCGUUUCCCCUCUCGCCCCACGCUCUCCCGUGCAUCGUAUCCUAGUUCCCCACCAAGGCCGAGAGCUUCUCGCCGCCGGCCAUGUCGCUGUCGUCGUUGUGAUGACUGAUCCACGCGCCCGAGCUAGGAUUCGAGCUCCUGGAGCCUCCAGGAGCGUGCCGAGCCCUCCAGCUGCCCUCCCCGUGCCCUAGAACCGCCCCUCAUAGAAGGCCGAGCUUCGGCCGCCGCUCCGGCUCAUCGCCGACGCCUCUUCCGGCGACCCUAGCCUCCCCAGAUGGUCCUGCCAGAUCGGCCACUUCGCGAGCAUGCUGUAGCUGCAAACCGCGUGCGUUUUGGUGUUGUGCAGCGCCGUCUAGGUCGCCUCCGGCGAGCCCUCCGCCGCGGGCCUGGUCGCCGGCGACCACCCUCCGGUGGGGGUCGACGUGGCAAGCUAACCCAGCAGCUUAGGGACCUAAUCACUCGCUGACAAGUGGGCCCAAGGCCAAGUCAAACCUCAGUUAGGGCUGGUCAGCGUGGGAUUAGUCCCAGAGAGGCUGUCCAGUGGGGCCCCCCUGUCAGGUUUGACCUGAACAAGUCGGCUGACCUGCUGAUGUGAGCCUGAGGCAAUAAAUAGAAUUUCCAGUAUAAAACUAAUUCAGGAAAUUGCUAAAAUNNNNNNNNNNCGGGAUUAGUCCCAGAGAGGCUGUCCAGUGGGGCCCCCUGUCAGGUUUGACCUGAACAGGUCGGCUGACCUGUUGAUGUCAGCCUGAGGUAAUAAAUAGAAUUUCCAGUAUAAAACUAAUUCAGGAAAUUGCUAAAAUUUGUAAAAAUCAUAGAAAUUAAUCUGUAACUCCAAUGAAAAUAAUUUAUAUAUCAAAAAGUAUCAGAAAAAUUCAAGGAUUCUGAUUAUGCUAUUUUCAACCAUGUUUAAAAAAGUUACAGAACCCUAAAUUGUGGAAUAAGGAAUAAUUCAAUUCUUUUAAUCACUUUAUAAAUGGAAUUUGCAAAAAAAUUCAAAUUUCAUUAUAUAUGCAAUGAUCACACACUGCCCUAAUUACAAAUCAGUACCAUAACAUGACAUUUCAUGCAUGUUAACAUCAAGUUGAUCUGAGCAUCAGGUCGAAUCAAUUAAACCGGUAUCCGAGAAUACCCCGUUUGAAUUGCUAUUCGAAUGUGAUUCAAAUCAACUCUAAACCUAUUACAUGUUGAAACUAAUAACUUAUCACCCUGCAUUCUCAUGCCAUGCGCAUGCAUCAUUUUGAGUGCAUAUGAUUGUUAUUGAAUGUUGCCAUUCAUUUCGGUAGGCUCCGCACCCCCGGAUUCCACCGAAUAUCCGUCUGACGGAUAUCGUUCCUCCUCUGAGCAACAAGGCAAGCAACCCUUUUGAUCAUCCCGAUAAUUCCCAUGUUCUUGCUCCUGCAUUUAUUUAUUGCAUUAGGAUCAAAUGCUACAACUGCUUUUGCCACGAUAGUUGAACCCACUUCCUUUGCAUGACNNNNNNNNNNNNNNNNNNNNNNNNNNNNNNNNNNNNNNNNNNNNNNNNNNNNNNNNNNNNNNNNNNNNNNNNNNNNNNNNNNNNNNNNNNNNNNNNNNNNAGACACAACAGCUAAGAAGGACACAUGCCAGUCAACCAAUGUGUCCGGAGCAGUAGCGGACUACCAAGGCUCGUUGGAUCACAAAGGGGCAUUUCCUUGUAAGGAGUGCUACUAAAGUUCACGACUAGGUAUUCGAACCCCAUACAUAUCAAGUAUGACACACGUACGCAUGGCAUACCGAUAUGUAUAGAUACAUCGAUGGCAUCACAACAUAACCAUAAACAUACAACCUUUAUUCAAGAGGCUCGGAAGAGCCACACACAUAAUAUUACACAUUAAGGUCUCUCGACCCAUAAUAGCAGUCAUACAAAUACAAGCCAGCGGAAGAGUUAUAGACUGUCUGGGUACAGACAGUGCAACUAGAAGGCACAUGGCGUGACUAUACUACAGAGCCGACGUAGGGCCAGAUCGUAGCUGGGACACCAGCUACUCGUCGUCGUCGAUGUCUACGAAGAACCCUCCAUUAGGGUCAUUAGCAACCUCUGCAACAUUUAUUAAGCAAACAUGAGUACGAAGGUACUCAUCAAGACUUUAGGAGAACUAACUACUCAUGCAAGGUAUCAAAAGGUAUUGUGGGGUUUCAUGCGGGAAGCCAGCAUUUGACUCGUGGCUNNNNNNNNNNNNNNNNNNNNNNNNNNNNNNNNNNNNNNNNNNNNNNNNNNNNNNNNNNNNNNNNNNNNNNNNNNNNNNNNNNNNNNNNNNNNNNNNNNNNAAGACAUAGAAACGUAUCAAUACCAUCAAAACAUAUCAAUAUAGACAUGAAAUCUAGUUUCAAAGACCUCGUCACAGCAAAUUUAAUGAUGGAAAUAGAUUUUUAAUUUGGCUUUUCGUUUAAGGGAUAAGACAUUUUGAAUUUUGAGAAAAUGAUGUUUACAUCAUCUACAUUUGUUUUCACUUGCAUGUAUGCAUGGAUGCCAUUCCGCACUUUCCCUCGUCAGGGACUGUUCGCCCAUUAUUACAGUCGAAAACUAAAACAAUGAUAUGUACUCCCUCUGUUCCUAAAUAUAAGUUUUUUAAGAGAUUUCAAANNNNNNNNNNNNNNNNNNNNNNNNNNNNNNNNNNNNNNNNNNNNNNNNNNNNNNNNNNNNNNNNNNNAAUGAUAUGUAAUUACAUACUCUUAAAAAUAAUAAUUAAAUAAAAAGACAAUCCUUGGAAAUUACCAGUCUAGUCUUAUUCUAAGACCUGACGAAACAUUAUUGAGUACCCGUCAUAUACAAGAGGAUUCGCUAGCAAAGGACUAUCAGAAAGGUUCAGGCAAUCUGCUGCCCAGGUCAUACACGAUUAUUCAUCAGGUUGGACACAAGCUAAGCUGCUUUCCUUCUGGAGAGUAAUUUGAAAAACUGUUCAAAGGCAGGGUAGAAUGAUCAUCCUUCGUGAUACACUAAACUGGAAACAAAAAACUCAGCUCGAUGCAUUUACAUGGACAGAAAUCGAAGUAUGUAACGGGUGAAGCUACCAUCAUGCCUCCAGGUCGUUCAGGUUUCUCGGAACUUUGACAAAAAGUUUUGAAACGAAGAGAAACCUUCCAUCGCAUCGUGCGGCAUGUUAAGCGUGAAAGGGGGAAGAACACUCGGACCAGCCUUCAGGUUCUUCGGGCCAGCGGCUGACGGUAGCGCAAGUGCAGGCUGCUGUCUGUUGAGCUUUUCUAUGAUGUACGAGAAAGUUCCAAAAGCCAGGCAGCUCUGAAUCAGAGUUUGCGGUGCACCUGCAACAGACAGCAGAAAAUAUGGUACUGAGGUGAUCGAUACAUAUGAAGCAGUUUAUUUAUGCUACAGGAGCAAAAAUAGAAACAUUAACUCCUGCCCCACUCCCUACAAAAAGCAAAGAGAGAAGUUGUAUUCUCAGCACAAAUGAUGAUCCAAACUAACCCCUUUGAUUAUACGAUUUUGGUUAGUAGAAUCUACAUUUCUACGAUCCUAAUAGUUAAGAUUCUACCACUGGUGAUCACUGGUGGAGCUACAGUGGAUUUCUUGGGCGGCCCAACCUGAAGAAGAAACCAUAAGAGAUGGGCCAGGCCACUUGGCAAGCUAGUUAGGCAGUUUUUCAGCUAGGCAGGGCGGGCCAGAGCACAGGUUCGCCCCAACGUAGCUCUGAUCCGAUUCAAAAUAACGAUUUUGACAACCUUGUCGAGCGACCAAGCGGAACGCUCGUUUCAGCAUCUCUCCCUCUCUCGAUCCGCGACGACGGCAAAGCACUCCCACCUCUCCCUCUCCGGCAACGGCUGUCCUAGCCUCCCCCCACUUCUGUCCUCUGAUGGCAUGCAGCAGCAGCGGGCAGCCAGGUACAAGCUGGGUGACGAUCAAGCAGCUGGACGGCGGCUGUAGCGGACAGCUUGGGCAGAGCGGAGGCAGUAGAAGGAGCAGAAGGAGCAGCAGCUCAUGGGCUGUGGCUGGUAGUUGCAGGUGGCGGCCUCACAUGCUGGGCGGCGGCCAGGCGCUGCACGUCUCGAUUUGUUGAGCGACACAACAUGAGGAAUUGGCAGGCGGGGGCUACACCCCAGAAGAGCAGGCUCUGCUCCAUUGUCCACUCUCCCUUGUGCGUUUGCUAGACUAGUGAUAAUCACCUAAAUGGAAAUUGUACAUGCUUUUUCUUGCCUUUUGCAACUACAGAAAAUUUGUGCAUGUUGUGGACCAUUUAUUGAUGAUUCUUUCUAAAUUUGUUAGUAAAAUAUGAUUGUGUAAGACUAUUGAUGUUAUUUAUUUGACAUGAUUGUGAUGCAAAAUAUAAAUUAUUGGUGAACAAAAAAUAAAUAAAACAUUGUUUUGAAAUUAAAUAAAGUGAUUCCGAAAAUACAAUUAAUGUUGCAUAUAUAGCCAGAAAAGCAAAACACUAAUCUGAACAUUUCUCAUUAUUCCAUUCCAUCAACCAAACACUGAGAUGUAACUGUUUCAUUCCACCUCAUUAUUCAUACGAAACACAAAGAUGGAACCAUUACAUUCCAUUCCACUUGGUUCUUCAACCAAACACACCCUCAGUGUCUUUGGCGGCACGGCUGGCUUCUGGGCGAUAGGGCAUGCUCGUGGUGGCCAUGGCGGCGACCUAUGUUCCACCCAGAUAUGGCGUCCAGCGGAGGCUAGCGGCGCGUGUCGAUGGCUUCUGUUGUGCCUAAGACGGCAAUGGCUGGCGACAAUGGUGGCCCAACAGUGCUCGGUCACGACAGCUGCCAAGGCUUCGCCUUUCUCUAUGGGCACGUAGGGCGUGUGAGAUGGUGGCCCUAGGCAGGUUACGGUGGGGGGGGCGACAGCUGCCAAGGCUUCGCCUUUCUCUAUGGGCACGUAGGGCGUGUGAGAUGGUGGCCCUAGGCAGGUUACGGUGGGGGUGGCGACAGUGUGGGGUCCUAAAGGAGGAUGCGGCCGGCGAUGCCGAGGCUGCCCGAAGACCGAAAGUGUCGGUUCCUGGGCAGCUCCCUAUUGAGAUCUGGAGGAGCCAAAUCUUGAAGGAGCACUAGCUGCCGAUCCGUCCAGAGGUUUUGCAGGCAGGUGGCUGGCGCGCGAGCCGAGGUGCAGGGUUUGGGUAUCCCACCCCCCUCAUGGACGGGCAGUUCGUUGGGCAGCCAUGGCGGCGGUGCUGCCCGGCUAUGGCCGUUGGCCUUGUGGUGGGACCCCGAGGGCAGGUGUCUUCUUCCCUUCGGUCGGCGACGGCCACAUGCUAUGCCGUCGGUGAGAGGUUCGGNNNNNNNNNNNNNNNNNNNNNNNNNNNNNNNNNNNNNNNNNNNNNNNNNNNNNNNNNNNNNNNNNNNNNNNNNNNNNNNNNNNNNNNNNNNNNNNNNNNNCGCCGCGGUGGCGGCGGAGAGUGGGCUCGGAUUCCGCGACACGGAGAGGCGCGUCAGGAUGGGGUUGGCGCGGGGGGGGCUCCGCGGCUGACGUGGGGACUCGUCGGAGGACUCGGCGUCGGUGGUGUCGCCGCCAUCGGAGGAGUAGUUUUCGUCCGGCUUUGGGUCGCCG
rnacentral:lncRNA from 1 species